AAUGAUUAAUUCUGGUCGAGAAUGGUUAAGGCAUAAGGAAUAGAAUUGUGACAAAUCUAAUUAUAUAGGGACCGAAAGCGAACUUCUCAAAACAUACGGUGCCCUGACCUGAAGUGUAAUUUAACCCAUUUAUUGUUGCAGUUUCACGUUUUUGGAGAAUUGCUGAGCAUGGUAUUAGCAUCCCAACGGUUGAAAUACUGAAACUCCAUACAUAGUAUUAGCUGAUGGAUUUAUGAGAUGGGCUUAAGGCCCGUCCACCCAAGUUGGGCCGAAAAGGCCCGGCCCACGGGAAUAGGGCCCGUGGAGGGGGAAGGUAUAAAAGGGAGGAGAGAGAGAGAGAGAAGAUAACGUUGUUUUGGAUAAACGUACGUCUUCUUUUCUCCAACGCUCUCUCCCCCUUAAGACAGAAUAGUAAGGCAAACGGCACGUUCUUCUUCCCUUCAAGGCGCCAUCGGAUCGAACAGGACCAGAAUUUAUUCUCGAUCAUCAGCAUUGGUGUUUAAUCUGUGGCUAACAAGGUACGCUCGACUCCGUAGUGUGCUUUACGAUCGGUGAUAUGUGUUUUCCCCUGCUUCGUCUUCCGCAUUGAUUUAGGGGUUCGAUUUAGUGUCGAAUCCGGUUUUUCGGGGAUCAGUCAUUCCCAACAUUGGUAUCAGAGCCCUAGUUCACGUUUUCCCGAUCAAUUUGAUGUUUUUUGAUUGAUUUAUCGCGAAAAAUCUUCGGCCGUACGGAUCGGGGCGAAAAUCCCGACACCCGAGCGCUAUUCGGCCAUUUUUCUGAGUUUCCCUAAGUUGGAAUCAAAUUCUGAAGGCACUGGGUGAAAGGCGACGUUGAGACGAGUCCGGCGACAUGUCGUGUGUCGCCGGACGACGCAGCACGCGCCCACACGCGCGGCCACAAGCCGCUGCGCGUGGGCGCCACGCGCCCGAAGCGCUGGCUAUGGCCAGCGCGUGCGCCACACGCGCCGAUGACGAACUAGCACGUGCGCGCCGGCGACCGGCGAAACGGCACGCGCCGGUCUGUGGACCGACGCGUGCUAACGUCACGCGAUGACGUCAUCCAACGGUUGGUAACCGCUCGGAUGACGUCACCGAUGACGACGUUUCGCCGGGCGGUGACCUGUCGGCGACUCGACCCGACUCGUGUACGCAGGCACGCCCCCGGCACGUGCCGGAUGACGUCUGCGUGACGUCAUCCCCCGCACGCACGAGGCACGUGCGGUCAGUCCGCGCGAGCGGUCCGAUCGGCCCGACCGUCGCUAUCGGUCCAACCGGUCCGACCCGCGUUGACCCGACCCGUUGACCCGUUGACCACCGUUGACCACCGUUGACCGACGACCGUUGACCGUUGACCCGGAAAAAAAAAAAAAAAGGAAUUUGUUUCUUUUUUCAAUUAUGUCUGUAUGGGUUGUAGGUAAUCCAUUUUUUAUUCUGCAUUUGUUGCAUGAAUCAUGGAAAAUUAUGUAUUUUCCAUUUUGUUUAUUAUGGAUUAUAAGUGAUCCAUUUUAGUUCUGCAUUUGUUGCAGGAACUAUGAUGCGUUAUGCACGGAUACUUGCAAUCCUAAGAACGGACGAAGGUAGAGCUAGACUGAAAAGGCUGAUGAAAGAGUUAGCUGAUUAUCAGUGGCUUGAUGGUGAUUUAGUAUCACAUAUGGUCAAGGUCAAUCAGAUGAUACAGGAAAUCAUCUUGAAUGGUUAUCUUAUGCCGGACUUUUAGAAGGUGCCGACUUUGAUGAACACUCUUCCACCUGAAUGGCAAGCAGUGUUAGAUCGGCUAUGGGAGGUCAACGUGGUCCCGGAUUAUAAGGGGCUAGUGGAAGCUUUUGUAGGAGAAUACUAUAGGAUUGAGUUGGCCAAAACUUCAACCCUUAGAUUGAGUGCCACAUGGCACAGAGUGAAUGCGCCUUGGUGGCGACAUGAGAGCUCUCCAAAAGUUUUUCCAUGGUUGGCAAAUGCGCCUUCAAAUUUCUCAAAUAUUAUGGCUGAUAGAUUAGAAUGGACAUUCCCUAUUUAUUUCUUUGAUUAAUUAUGUAAUGUUUACUACCUGAUUGUUGUUGAUGUAGCAAUUGAUAUGUUAGUUGUAUUACGUGAAAGCAUUGUUAUUUUAUUCGAUGUUAAGAUUUUAUUUGCUUUCUGCUUGUUGACACCUAAAUUUUUAGAGUUAAUUUUUGCUAAAUAAAAAUAAAAAUAAAAAUAAAAACACACAUGGCAUGUAGUUUAGAAACAUUUUAUUUUCAUUUUUUGUUUUAUUUUAUUUUAGGCUGUCGGUGAAGGGAAGAUUUUUCACAUAUUCCGUUUAAGCUUUUCAUAUUUUUAAGUAAUAUACACUAGGGGCGUAUUUCGUGCAAAAUGGGAAUAUUUUUGGAUAGAAUAUGUGAAAAAUACAAAAGAGAAUAUCACAUGUGGUGCAAUGAUAUAUUCAGAGAAUUAUGCAUGAGUGAAAUUGGAAAUAAAAUACGCUUCAAAGAUCUAAAAUUUUCCCCUAUAAAAGGCGUUGCGCACGUACGGACAAAGGGGGGAGGGAUUUCGAAAAAAUUUGGAGCAAAAGGGAUCCCUUCCGUCGAGUAAAAAGGCACCAAAAAAGAGCAAAAAGUGAAAAGUGAGUGAAGAGAGAGGAAAAGUAAAAAAAAAAAAAAGAGUAAAAGAAAAGGUAAAAAAAAAAGAAAAGUUCCCCCCCCGCGACUGUUCAUCUUCCUCGCGGGGGAGGGGGUCUCUGCCGGCGCCGGCGCCGACUGCCAGCGUCAUCGCUGUCCCGACGCCGCCUCCGUCCGCGCUGCCCCGACGCGCCACCGCGUCCCCCGUCACCUCUGCAGAUCUGUCCCGCCCAUCUCGACGAAGACCCAGAUCCGACGCCGCCUUUGCUUCGCUCCUAACCACGCGCAGAUCAGACCCCGACGCCCGAAGGUCGCGCCGAACCGACUCUCCGCCGCCGCCGCUCACCUUCUGCAGCCUCAACGCCCGAAGCUUGCAUCGCUCCGACGUUGUCUUUGCCGUCGCCGAUUUGCAGCGCCCCAGCUCCCCGAUCUGCUGCUCCGCCGCUGAUCUCGCCCUCGGUUCGCCUGCAACUCGUGACCCAGUAGAUUCCGAGCCGGCUCGCCGCCCCUGCCUCCUCGUUCGCUGCUCGUGCCCCCCCCCCCCGACGGUAGCCGGUCCAGAUCUAAGCGCCGACUUCCAAGCUUUGCCUGUGACGCCUCGCCUCCGCCGAAUCCACCGCCUGCGACGCUCGCACCCAGCUCCGUGCCGAUCCCGAAGCCCCGGUGCCGCGCCGCCGACGUGCCACCCCUGCCUCCCUCGCCAGAACCCUAGCCGACAAGCUCUCCCUCGCCGGACCUCUGAACCGGCCAAGCUUUUUCUUUUUUUUUAUUUUAAAAAAAGAAAAAAGAAAGAAAAUUAAAUUAGGUAUUUUUACUUUACUUUAUUAGGCAAGUUUAGGUUUUUUAUUUAUUUAUUUUAUUAUUAUCUCUUUAUAUGUUGUUUUCUUUAGUUGAAAUACCUAUCUAUGCAUAAAUGAAAAUCUCAAUAUAUCACCCGAUUCGCAACCGCGCCAGGGUUUUUUUAUUUCAUCUACAAGGCUUUAGAUGAAAUAAUUAAUUAAGCGGGAAUAAAAUUGAUGUUUUGAUCUUUAAGGCUUAAGAUCAAAGUAUCGAUUUUAUUAGCGAAAUAUUAUCCUUUCAUCUGAGCGAUAUGUGAUGUCCCUUUUGGGGUAAUUUUGAAUGGAUUUGAUCGUUUUUAUUUAUCUUGAGAUAUGUUUGAGAUAGAAUAUCACAGGGUUAUUUGCAUAUUUAGGCAAAGCAUUCUAUUUAUCAUGAAUUUUCAUCGGGUUAGAUUAGAUGCAUGUUAGGAUAUUACUUGUUUUAGGGUUUGCAUAUUUAGAAUAGGAAUUUUAAUUUCAUGAAAAAUACAAAAAAUGUCAUAGGUUAAAUUAGUUUUAUUAUUUAUGAUAAAAUGCAUUCUUUUAGGAAAAAGAAAAAAUGUCAUAUGCACAUCAUUAGGGCUAGAUUCACUGGGAUGCAUGUCAUUUAGUAUUUUUGCUAGGCCUAUUUAAUUAGAAAUUGCAUGUCAUUAGAAUUAAGUCAUUUAGUUAAUAUUGCAUUGCAUAUUGCAUGAUUUUCAUUAAAAAAGUGAAAACAAAUAAAAAAGGAAAUUGCGUGUUAAUUAGAAACCAUAUCUAGGGUUGUUGAUGUGGUUUUUAACUUAACAUUGCAGAUGCUUUCGUUGCUUUGAGGUAAGUGUUUGCAAUUUAUUUAUUGUUUAUCUUGGUGUUAAAUUGGUGGUUUGUGCACGCGUAUGGUAACCUCACAUAUUAGGGAAAUAGAUUUAAAAUAAACCCAAGCUGCUUGCAAAAAACAUUUUUUCAAAAUAAAAGAAAUGGUACCGAAAGGGCGUUAGAGAAAUUUAGCGUAACCAAGUCCCCGUACCCAAAUCUCUGGUCGGUAGGAAUAAAGUAAAUCUCCCGUUACUUUAUUUGGGUUUCUAAUCGACCCACAAAAAAAUAGAUUAGUGGCGACUCCUGAUUGAAAAUCAUUUGCAUGUUAAGAGCUUGAACCUAAGUCGCGAAUUGGUAUGGGCUUGGGAGAGCCCGAGUUAAGUCUAGGCUUAACAAUCCAUUAGCCAAAACCCUAGGUGGUUCAAACCCCGAAAAAAUAUGUCGCGACACUGCUAUUGCUGGUUGCUGUGGGUAAUUAGCUGUGGGUAGUAAUAGAAAUUUAAUGUAACUUCAUAGAAUUGAUUUUGCAUAAGACAAUUAUAUUAAUAAUAAUUUUGAGUUAGGAUUUUUGGAGGAUGAUUGGAAACAUAGUGACCUUUUGAUUCUGAAACCUUACUUGAAAUUAUUCAUUGAUAUAAUGGGUCUGUGCAAAUAGGGAUGCAUAAAUGAUAGGCAUUAAUUAUUCGUGCAUGUAUGUCUGAUGUGUUUAGAAUGAUGGUUCGGCAACUAAGAAUGUAAUUGCUGAUAUGAACGGCUACAAUUGUGAAAUAUUGAAUAUGAAGAUUCAAUAUGUGCUGGAAAAGCAAGAAGCACUAGAAGCUCUUGACCAUANNNNNNNNNNNNNNNNNNNNNNNNNNNNNNNNNNNNNNNNNNNNNNNNNNNNNNNNNNNNNNNNNNNNNNNNNNNNNNNNNNNNNNNNNNNNNNNNNNNNACCGCUUAACGGCAUGUGAGCUGAGAUAGAUAUUGCAAUGAUGGUCUAGCUCAUAAAGGGUUUGAGCUCUAAGCGCAAGUGUAUUGAUUCGUUCAAUAUGUGGGAAUGCAAAGGAUCAAGCCCUUAUUGCAAGAGAUCAAGAGUUAACCAACAUAAGAGAGGAAAACGUCCUCAAGUGAAGAAAAUGUCAAGGGUGAAAUGUUACAACUAUGACAAGAAGGGUCACUAUGCCCGCGACUGUCGUGAGCCAAAGAAGGUAAACACCUCUUGUACAUUUGAGAACUUUGAUUAUGUGUCAAGUUCUGAAUUAUUGGCUGAAUCCAAUCCUUUGUGGACUGUAGAUUCAGGAGCAACAGACGAUGUAGCGAAGGAUAAAGGAUCAUUCGUGGAAUUCCGACGAAUACCACCUGGCAUUGAGUGGAUCUAUGUGGAAAACAACUCCAAAGCUGAAGUUAAAGGGAUUGGCACUUGCCAACUGAACAUGUGUGGUGGACGCAACCUGUUCCUACAUGAUGUUCUAAAUGCUCUAGAGAUUCGUUGAAAUUUAAGUGUCUGUUUUGAUGUUGGUUAAGCUUGGUUUUAGUGUGAACUUUCAUAAUAACGGUGUAGAUUUGUAUUUGGAUACAAACUACUAUGAUUGUGGUCACUUUCUGGAUGAUUUUAUUGUACUGAAUGUUGACUGUGGUGAUGUCAAUAUGUUAUUCCCUUGUUUCACGUCUUUUACUUCAUGUGAUAAUGAUGUAAAUGUGCGGCAUGCUAGACUUGGUCAUAUUGGCCAACAUAUGAAUAGACUAGCCAAGGAGGACUUGUUGGGCAAUAUUGAAUAAAUCGAUUUGUCCAUAUGUAAGCAUUGCCUAGAAGGGAAAACGACAAGGAAACCAUUUGGAAAAGGUAAAAGAGCUGACGUUUCUCUGCAUUUAAUCCAUUAUGACGUUUGUGGUUCAAUGAAUGUGAGAGGAAGGCAUGGGACUGUUUACUUCAUCACUUUUAAUAUAUGAUUAUACUCGAUUCGGAUGUGUCUAUUUGAUUUCUCAUAAAUCUUAAGCAUAAGUUGUUUCAAAGGGUUUAUGAACUUGGUAAAAAAUCAAUUAGACAAGAAAAUAAAAGUAUUGAGAUCCGAUCGAGGUCGAUAAUAUUUAUCUGAUGAGUUCAGAAAAUUAUGUGGUGAAAAGGAAUAGAAAUACAGUUGUCUAUUCCAUAUACUCCUCAACAAAAUGGUGUUGCAGAGAGAAGAAACAGAACCCUACUAGAAAUGGUUAGGUCCAUGAUGGCGUAUACUAACUUACAUAUCACUUUUAUGGAGUGAUACGUUAUUAACUGCUGCCUAAAUACUUAACCGGGUGCCUUUCAAAUCAGUUAGUUCCACUCCAUAUAAGUUAUGGAUAGGUAGAAACCGGACUUAAGUUUACUUAAGCCAUGGGGUUUUGCUACCUAUACUCAUAUGUCCUCUCACAAGUUUGGAAAAUUGAGUCCCAGAUAAAAGUAGAGUAUUUUAAUGAGAUACUCCGAACACUCGAAAGGGUAUGUGUUCAUAGGUGAGCAGGAAAGUGGGAGAAUAACUGAAUUUUGAAUCACGGGAUGUCACAUUCUUAAUGGAUGAAUUUCCUAAGAAGGGCGAAAUAGGGGAAGAUUACUUCCUAUUUGAAACCUUGGAUCAAAAUAAUGAUAUCAGUGGAGUUCGUCCAAGUGGGAGUAAUAUGAGAUGUGAUGAAUUGAAUUCAACUCAUUCUCAAUUGCAACCACCUGAUGUGACGACAUCAUCAUUACCUAAUCCAAGUGGGAGCAUAAUGGGGAAUGAUGUGCUAAGUGUACAAUUUCCCUUACGAUGAACAAGUCGCCAAAGUAUUCCCCGUCGACGUUUUGACAUUGAAUGGGGAAACUUUUAUGAUUGCUCCGUAAAAUAAGGAUGAGCCGAGAAAUAUUAAUGAGGCUCUUAAUUGCCCUAGUAAGGAAAAAUGGAUUAAUGCAAUGAAAGAGGAAAUGGAGUCAAUGAAGUCAAACCAAGUCUAGGAACUGGUUGAUCUUCCAAAAGGACACAAAGCCAUUGGGAACAAGUGGGUUCUUAAAAUAAAGCAAAAGGCUGAUGGCUCGAUAGAAGGCAUAAGGCUCGCCUUGUGGCAAAGGGGUAUAAUCAACAGGAAAGAAUUGAUUAUGUAGAAACAUUCUCUCAUGUAGUGAGAUUUACCUUGAUUUGCAUAAUUCUGGCAAUAGUGUUUGGUAUGGAUCUUGAGUUACAUCAAAUGGAUGUAAAGACUGCUUUCCUCAAUAGAGAAUUAGAGGAAGAAAUAAAUAUGGAACAACCUGUUGGUUUCAUAGUAAAAGGCUAAGAAGAAAAGGUAUGUCGACUUUGGGGGUCGAUAUACGGCCUUAAGCAGUCGUCAAGACAAUGGUUUAUACGAUUUCAUAAUGCCAUAAUAACAUAUGACCUUACAAUGAUAGAUGAUGAUCAUUGUAUAUAUAUCAAAAUAUCCAAGGAUCAAUUUGUGAUCAUAUCAUUAUAUGUUGAUGAUAUACUAAUUGCCGGAAGCAAUAUGGAGCUAGUUAAUACUGUCAAAAGUUGGUUGUCUUCCAAAUUUUGAAUUUAAUGAUAUGGGAUUGUAAACCCAUUGACACUCCUAUUGCAGAAUGUGAAGGAUUGAGCCAUAAACUGUGUCCAAGGACUCCACAAGAGAAGGAACAAAUGAAACAUGUUCCUUAUGCUAGUGCUGUUGGAAGCUUUAUGUAUGAUAUGAUGUGUACAAGACCUGACAUAUGUUUUGCAGUUGGAAUGGUGAGUAGUUACCAAUCCAAUCCAGGUCAAGCACAUUGAUAAGCCGUUAAGAGAAUACUGAGAUAUCUAAAGGGAUCUGCUGAUUAUAUGCUGAGUCAUUGAGGAAAGGAUCUGCGACUCUAAAGCUAUUAUGAUGCUAAUUGAGAAGGAGAUUUAGACGAAAAAAAAUCUACCUCUGGGUUUGUUCUUUUACCGAAUAAUGGCACCAUAUGUUGGAGCAGUAAGAAACAAAAGUGUAUAGCCUUGUCCAUGAUGGAAACUGAGUUCGUGGCAUUAUCAGCAGCAGUAUAAGAAGAUGUUUGGCUUAAGAGAUUAUUGGAUCAUUUAGGUGUUAUUGGAAGUGCUACAGAUUUGUUAUUAGUUAAUUAUGAUAAUCAAGCAGCAAAAGUGUACACUAAAGAUCCAAAUAUCAUGGCAAGACCAAACAUAUAGAUACCAAGUAUAAUUUUGUCAAGGAUAUGGUUGCACGAAAGGAUGUGAACUUAGAGUACAUACUACGCAUAGAAUGGUAGCAGAUCCUAUAAUAAAGCCAAUACCUAGAGAUGUGUUUUGUGGCCAUGUGAAAUCUCUAGGAUUGCAUAGAGGAUAAUGUACUGAAUAUUGUAAUUUCCCUAAAAUUUCACAUUUGAUGAAUUUGUGUUUUCAUCAUUAAUGCCUAUGAAUCUUUAUUUUCAUCAUUAAUACCUAUAAUUUUGUCAAGGAUAUGGUUGCACGAAAGGAUGUGAACUUAGAGUACAUACUACGCAUAGAAUGGUAGCAGAUCCUAUAAUAAAGCCAAUACCUAGAGAUGUGUUUUGUGGCCAUGUGAAAUCUCUAGGAUUGCAUAGAGGAUGAUGUACUGAAUAUUGUAAUUUCCCUAAAAUUUCACAUUUGAUGAAUUUGUGUUUUCAUCAUUAAUGCCUAUGAAUCUUUAUUUGAUCUUUAUGCAUCUUAAUGCUUAGUACGUUACAUUUAGUUGAGAAAGUAUGUUGGACAGAUAUAAGAUUAGCCCACUCACGCGGGUAAUCGCCCCUAUUUACUGUGUGAUAAAUAGAGAUGAGACUGUUUUUAAGCUUAUUAUCUAGGUGAUAAUCGAGAGCUCAAGCUUAAAACACGUAUGUCACCUUAACUAAGUGUUAAGAUGAGGACAUGAUACUUACUAUGUCCGAAAGUAAAAUACCCCACAUAUUUUACUUUAUCUGUCUAUGAUGCCAGAUGUGAGUUCUGAUGAAUUUUGUAAAUGAGUAGAUACGUGAACUCAAGUUAGACAUUGGGUAUGUCUGAACUAUCAUCUGUGCGGUAUUGAAAGGCGUAGACAUACGCUCCAUGGGAAAUGAGUUAAUACCGUAAUACGUAUUUCAUACUACGUAUGCAUGAGACGACCAAUAAGAGUGGCAAAAGUUUGAUCUCAACUUUUUAUGUCGUGUGAGACUCUUGAGGAAAAGAGUUCCUCAAUUUCUUAGUCCCCUCAUGACUCUUACUUAUUUUCAAGAUUUCUAUUUAGUGUUUGCUAUCUUAGGAUGUUGCCAAUGGUCAUGAGUGAUUCGAUCUAAUGGGGCAUUUCUAGAAAAGCAAGCUGAACUGAAAUUGAGAGUUUGAAGGAAAGAGGAAGACCGAUUUUGGAGAAUCACAUUGUAGUUUUGUAUUCACCGGUUAACCAAUUAUGAUUGCCUUUGUGAUAAUCAUAAUUGUGAAUACAAUAUAUAUAUAUAUAUAUAUAUAUAUAUAUCAUUGUUUGAAAGAGAUCAAGAGAGAUAUAAAUGUGAUCAAUCGAUCUAGGGUACUGCAUACUAAAUCUACUCGGAGUGUGAUGCCCAUUAUGAGCUGCUAUAUAUUCCUAACAGAUGUAUGGCAACGAGCUCUCAAAGUAUGCUGGUCGCACGGAUUAUUCACCGGUAUGAAUGUUGAAGAGAGGAAAAGAGGAUUCUGUUCAGCCCACCAUGUUAAGUGAGAGUCUAUGAUGGAUUUUCUCUGAUGGGGAUGAGUAGGGCCUGUCCGCCCAUGUUGGUUUUGGACCACCAUGUGCGAGUGGGAGAUGAUGGAUUUAUGAGAUGGGCUUAAGGCCCGUCCACCCAAGUUUGGCCGAAAAGGCCCGGCCCACGGGAAUAGGGCCCGUGGAGGGGGAAGGUAUAAAAGGGAGGAGAGAGAGAGAGAGAGAGAGAGAGAGAGAGAGAGAGAAGAUAACGUUGUUUUGGAUGAACGUACGUCUUCUUCUCUCCAACGCUCUCUCCGCCCUUAAGACAGAACAGUAAGGCAAACGGCACGUUCUUCUUCCCUUCAAGGCGCCAUCGGAUCGAACAGGACCAGAAUUUAUGCUCGAUCAUCAGCAUUGGUGUUUAAUCUGUGGCUAACAAGGUACGCUCGACUCCGUGGUGUGCUUUACGAUCGGUGAUAUGUGUUUUCCCAUGCUUCGUCUUCCGCAUUGAUUUAGGGGUUCGAUUUAGUGUCGAAUCCGGUUUUUCGGGGAUCAGUCAUUCCCAACAUUAGCAUCAACACAAGGUUCUACUUCGGCCUGUAGUACAGGUCCUGUAUAUGGCUCCGACUAAAAGAAGCCUAUAUUUAUUAUUGCCGAUCAGAGAUCGACGGCGUCCCAACACAACUCGCAUCCCCAUUUUAAGCUACAGCUAGGAGCAGGUCAUCCGCUACGCAGUUUCUUGCUGAGCAUGUAUCUGAAGGGAGGGUGAGUAUACCUCCCAUUCAGAAACAUGUCGACGAUCACCCGAUACGUGGCUUCCGUGAGAUGGACUCCGUCCCAGUUGAUGUACUCCGAGGGAUGAGGGCACACGUUGGUGAACGCCAUGCCGCAUGUCGCGAACGGAGUGAAGUGAUAGGGCUUUCCGGUACCACAGCAUGCCCGGAAGGGCUCCUUGAAACCGUGCUUGGCCGCAAACUUCAUGAUAGAGUGGUGUGCGUACCAGUAAUCGGCGUAGACGAUCACCGCAUCAGGGAACUGCUUCCUAAGGUUGGAAAUCGUGGCCUGGAGCGCGGCAUUAUGCGCGCGGGUUUGGUCGUUCGCGCUCUUCACGCAGCCUAGGUCGUCUUUCUCGCCCACGGGGUCCAAAUACAUGGCCAGCGGCAAGCAACCCGACAGCGGUAGGCCUUGGACCACCAUGUACUUCGCCCCCCGCCUCAGAAACGACUGCAAAGCGACUGCAAAGCAAAUCAUAUCAUUGUGAAGUUACUUGCGACGGAGAAAAUGGGUGUCAGAUCGAUACUUUGGAUGAUGUUAUCGACAUUGACCAAUCUCACCACGGUCCAACCGAAAAUUCGAGCGCUUAUUUAAUGUAGGCCGAUUUUUCUACAGUAGAUGCAUUUAUGAUCAGCCCACCUAAGUUGGUCGAACUGAGCUAUUCGACUCGAAGCUUGCUCUCUAAAAUAUUACCAUUCAUUGGUGAACAUCCAUAUGUACGAACGGACAAAACCCGACAAUUACCUUCUUGAGUUCGGAAUCGACAAAUCUCUACAAGGUUAGCGUGAUUCGAUUACUUCUCUAAACAGUUGACAAUUAAGCUAGAUCUACGACUCAAAAAUAUAUACACGGACCCACAAAAUACCACCCUAAAUAAUGCGAUUUUAAACUGACACUAAGCACCUGGACAGACAAGCCUCGGCAAUAAUUGCAAUGGCUAGCAACUGGACAAACGAGAUCUAGUGACCUCAUCAAAGCCUAGGCUCGACGAGGUUGGCCAAGGUCAAGUCUCACCCAGCCAUGACGAGACUCAUGCUGAUGACUGGUUAGAGGAGGGAGAAGAUGAGAAAUAUAAAAGAAAAAUCUUGUAAAAUUAAUUAAAAAUUAAAAUAAAUUCUAAAUCACAAAAAAAAAUGAGUGUGUGACAUCCUGAUUUUUUCAUAUCUGAUUUCAAUUGAAUAAAUCGAGCCUUUCGUCGACGCGUCUAUAGUGCUAUUCUCUGAGCCGAUCACUCAAGAGAUAACUAGACUAUCUGGGAAAAUCAUUAAGGGAUUUUAACGCAAAAGGCUUGAGAAUUCGACUAGAAAUCGACUGCUCGACCGUGCUAAUUUGCAAGGGUCAUUACGGAACACUUAAAAAUCGAUCAGAGAUCAGAGAUAGGUCGAUUCGAUUAAGAUAAGUGAUUAGGUCGAUUCGAUUAAGAUGAGUGAUCAAAAUGUGGGUGAUUCCACAUGAUUGCAAAAUUCUCAUCAAUCGGUACUAAAUUAAUUUUCUAUCGUUUUGGGUACCCUGUGUCUGUAUUUGAAACCUUGAGAUUUUCACGAUAAUCGAGAGCCGUCAAUAUGUCGAAGAUGUACAUUGUGACUUGAGAUAAAUCGAUCACGGGUCAAUUGCACUCAAAAUUCCUAAAAGCUACCUGAUAUAUUAGAUCACGCUAAAAGCGCGCCAGAUUGAAAAUAACAGUGAAUUUGAACCCGAUUUCAAAAAUUAAAAGUUCUGUGGUGUCACGAGCUAUUUGAGGAACGUCGACUCAUUCUCCGAAGAAUUUUCAGAGAUUCCGGGAUUUUUGCGGAAAAUCGAAUCGGACGUUGCGGAAAAAUUAGCGAAAAUUUGUACGGGGCAAAUUAAAGGAAAUUUGGACUUCCAAGCUAAGCCUUUGAGUGUUGAGGACUUGCAGAAAUUUGUACGGACUUUUUCUCCGAGGAAAUUGGACAUCAAAUAUGGGGAAUUUGUCAAAGAUAUCGAAGUCCGAAAAUUGAAAAUUCGGAGCCUUGGAAGGAGCUGGAAUUUUGGCUUCAAAUUUUGAUAAUUUGUGGGGUUUUAAUGUGGAGAAAGUAUUUGGGGGACAUUGAGAUAUUUAUGCAAGUUUAAAGGAGACCAAGCAUUGAAUUAAAGGGAUAAGUUUGAUGAUUUUGGGCCCCCUUCCUUGGCUUCCUCUUCACAGCUUCUCGAUCCUUUUCUUUUUUUUCUUUGUUACCGUUUUCCCUCAUUUCCGUCGAAGACCGCAACUUCAUCCCCUUCAAUUCUCUCUCUCUCUCCAUUUAUUUCUCUCACGACAGCAUCCCCUUAGCUUGUUUCUUCCUCCACCAAAGUUUCAUUUCCUCUCCAUUUAAGCGGCCACCGAAUCCUCCCCCACUCACCCACGCCACUUGCCAAUUUCCUAGCUCACCUCGGUCAACCAUCAACCAUGGAAGCCCUCGGUUGACCGCGUGCAGUUCACGCCCAAGCGUCCAGCAGCACCGAAGCCCACCGAAUCUGCUUGCUUUCAUCUCCUGCGAAGACCUUCGAUUUUGUUGAUUGAAGCAGCGUCCUCCGAAGAAGCAAGCUGCCUUCUUCUUCUUUUGGUUUUGGUGAGCUGUCCAGCAGUCCAAAGUUCCCUGCCCCUUUCGCUGCCACCGAAGAUCAGCGAAGCUCCUUAAGCUCACUUCAUCUCACCGAACCGAAGCGACCACGUCUCCAGCGAAUUUCGUGAGCCCAUCUUUGUGUAAGCCGCAGUCCAUCUUCAGCAAAUUUUCAGGCCCAUAGAAUCAUCAGCCUUAGCUUAGGAAAUUUCAGUCCAGCAGCCCAUCUUGAAGUCAGCGCAGUUCAGCCCACACAAAAUCCCAGCCCAACUCAGCCCAGUUCGCAAUUGUUUCAGCAAGGCCCAGCAGCUCCUUUAAUCCCAAGUCCAGCAGCCCAUCUUGAAGCUAUCUCAGUCCAGUGAAGCCUGGCCCAUUUCAGCAACAAAUCUCAGUUGGGCUGAGAUUUGUUGGGCCCGUUUUAGGCCCUGUUCGAGAGUUCGCCGACACUGCCGAAAAUUGAAAUUUCGGCCGCCGUCGCGGUGAACCGAUUUUCGCGAUGCACCAGUGAGUUUAUACUCUAAACUCUGCUUAGUAGGUUAAUGACAUUUAAGGGGUGUUUAGAUUUAUUUUAUUAGGAAUUAGAUAGUUAGUUAGAUUAAAUUAGAAAUGUAAUUAUUUAAUUGAGCAUGUUAGGUGGUUAGAAUGGUUUAGCUAAGGCCUAAAUAAAUUGUACUAUUUAUCUAGAAGGGUUCGGGAAUUUUCCGGGUCCGUUUUGGUAUUUAAUUUAAUGAUUAUGGCUUAGGUUAGAAUUUUUAGAAUUUAAAUUGAUUUAUUUAAUUAAUUUCAGUAAUUAUUUAAUUAUUAAUUAUUUUUCCGGAAAUUAGGCCAAGAUGGCCAGUGACCGGAAUUUCGUGCUAAUUGCAAUGGUGUGGUUAAUUUCUGUAAUUGAGUGUUAAAUUAUGCAAAUUGAGUGCUGAUUGGAUUUUUGGUAUUUAAUUCCAAAAAUUAUAAAUUUCCGAUAUUUAUUCAGAAAAUCCCGGGUGUCGGGUUUUAACACCGAAAAUAGUUUUUAGUACUAUAUAAAAUAGUGGGAUUCCAAAAAGGAUGAAUAUCAAUUUUUCUGGAUCAAGUUGACCAUGUAUCCACACACGAGAAAUUUUAUAUGAAUUUCAAAUCUCGACAAAAAAGGCCAGGCUCACCAUUUUAAUUGAAGCAUUUGAGUGCAAUGCACGGUGCCCUGGGCCAUAUUCGAGUGAUCGUGUGAUGGUUAAGAGAAAUCGUCCCGGGCUGUUGAGCUGGACGUUAUCCCUAUUUGGGAUACCCCCUGGACAACGGGAAGCCGUCGCAGUUGAUUUUGGACCCUAUGCUCCUUCAGGAAAGCCGUCUGAUAAAGAGACGUGCCGUGCUCAAUGGGGUGAGACGAUGCCUGGCAAUGCCAGAAGACUGCCGAACUGAGAGUAGACCGUGCUAUAUGCCAAGAUCAAAACUAGGAACGCGUGAUUAAUUGAGUGUGGCGUUUCAAUUAUUGGAGCUUAUUUAUUGCUCAUGCUCUCAUGUUGUCCGUGAUAUAAAUUGUACUGACCAGCAGGGUGAAUUUAAGACGAGGUAAGUCUCCUUGAUUGUGUGAUUAUGACACUUCUUGGCAUAUUUCCCUCCUAAUUGGGGUUUAAAGCUUAGACUUGCUGAGAUGAUAUCUCACCCCGUUAUGGGACAACAUUUUCAGGGUCGUCAAGUGGAGGACCUGGAGUUGAGAGGAGGUGAUCGGAAGCGUAGGUCAGUUAGAACCGCUUCUUUUUGGAAGGCCAGUCUUUUGUAAUCUUUUGGCCAUAGACCUGUGUACAUGACUUAGUGUAUAUAUAAAAGCAUGUUUGUUUGUGAAUCUAUUAUCCUGCUUUUCUAUCCCAAGAUGAUUACUGUCAUGGGAUUUCUUUUCGCUUCCGCAUGUGUAAUAAAAUGGAAAGGGUCGGCGACUCGUCCUAGGAAGUCGCAAAUUAUUAUCGACCAGAUAGGAUGGGCACGCGCUCGGAGUCGAGGGCGUGAUAGAGUGUCAUGACAAAUACAUUUUUAUUCUCUAUUUGAUAAUAUAAAUUUUGUGUAGAUGUAUUAAUAUCCAUUAUAUUUCUGUGAAUAAUUUCUGCUUAUUUUUUUUUUAAUUUAGUUUUCUGGACAAGUUUCCGAAUAUUUAAAUACAUCUAAUAAUUAUAUAAAAUUUCUAUUUUCGGAGUAAAAAAAGAACAUGAAUGCAUUUGACACAACUCUUAAAUUUUUUUGUGACAUAAAAUUUCUAAUAAUUUUUUUUUAUAAUUUUAUGAGAUUUUUCUUCUUUUUUUUCCUCCUCUUCUUCUUCCUCAUGUAACUCGGACCUCCCCUCAAUGAUGGCCGCAAUAGGCCAGACAAAAGUCAACAAGGUCACCAACUAUUGCCAAGCCUAACAAUCGACUAGAGGAGGAGAAAAAAGAAAAGAAUAAAAAAGAAAAACAAAGGAAAGUGACUUGAUUCUAGAAUUUAUUCAAGAGUAUAAAAUUAGUUGAUAUUAUCAAAUAAAUUUUCAUUCUUUUUCUGAAAUCUAAUUAACUGGUCUAUCGUAAUAGUUUAGCUCAGGUACGGAAGCACGGGAGCAGAGCCGAAGCCAGAGAGCUUUAUUAAUUCCGUCACGGGAGCUCUAUCUCCAUGUGCUUUUAUCAUUUACUCCAUGGGAAACCUGAUCACGUUCGUCCGUCGGUUUUCCAAAGUAUCAACUUACUUCGAGAAAAGCGGUGACGGUACCGAUGGCGAGCUUCCCGAUGGUAUCGCCGUAGACGGUGAUCCCGAGGGAGUAGGCGUAGUCGUUGACACCGAUCUCGCCCACCCACACCAGUGCGUCCUACAGCGCGCCCCGGCACGCCUUUCUCCAGGUACUUGCUGAAGCAGAGGAGCUGCGUCAGGAGCGACUGCGGCGUCGCGUCCAGGUUCAGGUUGUUCUUCACGAAGAACUCGUGGUCGAUGGCCGUCGAGCCCGUGACUGCGAAGUUGACGCCGUGGGUGGCGGCAGUGGUGGCAGGGAGGAGGAGAUGUUGCGGUAGGGGGGAAGGAAGGGGAGGGAGAGGGACUGGGCCACGAAGUCGAUGCCGAGGUGGCUGUCGGAGUAGCGGUUUGUAGGGCGGUGGAAGAAGGUGACGCCGUAGUGGGGGUCGGAGACGUGGCCGAAGCCAAAGAGCUCUUAUUUUUUAUUUUUUAUUUUUGGUAAAAAGGAGCUCUUAUUUUGUGAAUGGACAAGUAGCGAGACAUCUCCUCACAUAGGAAACAAUACAACUGAUGAAUAAGAAGACAUCAUACCAAACCAAGCAUACAGAAAAUUAUUUCUCACAUCUUUAUGAAAUCAUAAAGAGUAGAGGACCUCUAAAGGUAUUGACUAAGAAACCGUCAACCAACCUCACUUCUCUGAGAGUGUCAUAGAAGCCGCCAAAAACAAUGAUUUUGUGUUUAUACAAAACCUGUAAAAAAGCAAGAUGGAUAGAAAAACAGACGCGCAUGAGUUAACGGGAGAUAACUAUACAUGAAGGACAAAGACAGCUAUGAGGCCACCGAUGAGAUUACCAUUCUAUGACCUGAACGCGGGCCAGGACAACCUCUCAGAUUAAGUUGUUCCCACUGAUUUGUCUUGAGGUCCAACAUCCAAAAGUCCUAAAAAGAAAGUUCGAUCAUAGAUCAACAUAACUCACAACUUAAAAGGUAUUACUUUUGGACUCUUCAACUAUCUUCCUCCAUUCAGCAUAUUGCGAAGCUUCCUCAUAUGUGGAUGGUUCUAUGGCUCCAUCUUCAAUUGCUUCUCUUGCUGUGACUUUCCAUUGAGUUUUGUGAUUCUUGAAUUUUUGCAAUGCCAAUUCAUUCUACCAUUUAGUCUCCUUUUCCUUCUUCUCACCCAACUUGGUCUUCGUAUUCGACAUAUCUCCUAUAAGAAUUUUGAGAUUGGAACUCAUUUGAUCAAGCCUCUCAUUUGUGAUUUUCAUUUCGUGCUUCAACCGAUUCAGUCCCAUCCGAAGCACUUUAGUGGAGAUAUCUUGAUCAUUUUUCUCAUAAAAUUUCUUCUCCUCAAUCUUAUUCCACCUAUCCUUGCACCAUGGGAUGUAGGGUGUAGAUGGCCUCCUUUCCUAAAAAAAAACCUUUCUUCUUCUCCUUCAUGUAUUUGAUAUCUCUCUCAGUAUGACCAAUUGGGAACAUCAUAGCGGGCUUGAGAUCUUGAAGCUUCUGCAGCUUCUUGAACUCACAUCGAAACUUCUCUAGCUCCCUAUCUUUUGCCUUGAGCUCUCGAUCCUUUUGCCUUAUCAUCUCAUCCCUUUUCUUCAACAUAUUCUCCAUCUUUGCCUUCUCAACUUUCAGCUUAUUUAUCAUAUCUUGCAUCUUAUGCAGUUCCUUUUCACGACUGCUUGUUGGCAUUGUUAGUUGCUUCUUCAAAUUCUCCCUUGGCUUGCUCUUAUUCGGGGUCGUGAUGGAACCUAUCGAAUUAUCCAACUCAACUAUACAAGCUGUUGCAAGCUCUUCUCGUUCCUUCAUUGCAACAAGCACUUGAAACCAUUCUUCUUCACUUUCAAUCUCCUUCUUGCAAGAAGUGACAACAUUUCCUUCUUCCUGCCUGUACCAACAGAAUCAGGCAAUAUGUCCUACCUUACCACAAACGUAGCACCGUUUGCUACACCUUUUGUUGCUCUUGUCUUCAUCGUCAUCGUCGUCACGAUCUUGAUGAGCUCCCCCUGGCUUAUAACCCUUCUCUUCUGGUUGCCUUCGCCAAUCUCCAUGAUUUUUCCAUGGUUUGCCAUCUCUUGCACCUGCUCUAUUUCUAUUUUGACCCUUGAACCCUCUUUUAUUACUAAAGAGGGCACUACUUAGGGAUUUGUUUAUCUAAGGCCUCUUGAUUGGCCAAUAUAUUUUCCAACUCAAUUAGAGUUGGCUCAUUUGCCCAUCCACGGGUGGCCGUAACGAUACCGUUAUACUCCGGCCUUAACCCAUGAAUUAUUAUUCUUCUCAUUCUUGUCUCAGAGAUGGCAUUUUGAGGAUCUAAUUUUGAAAUUUCUUUACAAAUAGAUUUAACUUUAGAAAAGUAUUGACUUACUGUCAUACUUUGUUGCGAGAUUGAGGGGGUUCGUUCUCCAGGCAUUGUAACUUGACAUCGUUUGUCCUCGCAAACAGCGUCGCUAAGUUAUCCCAGGCCUCCUUCGAGGUCUUCGCGCUCUUUAUGUGUUGCAAUAAUUCAUCUUCAACAAUCACAGCAAGAACGUAAAGAGCCUUACCUGACUUGACGUUCCACUUUCUUAAAUCACUAUCAUUUGUGGGUGGUGUGGUGUUGUUGUCACCAACGAUAUCCCAUAAAUCUUGUCCAAGCAAAUAAUACUACAGGUACUCCAAUUAUUAUAAUUGAAGUCGUUGAGCUUCUCCAUCCCAUUCACCGAACUCGAGAAAUCCACUAUGGUGACUUGAGUAUAAUGCCCCGCACUAUACCAAGUAAGCCUGGUCCUAGACCAACCGACUUCACAUUCCCAAAUUGUGCAUUGGCAAAACUUUGACGUACUCCACUCCUUGGCUCGACGAGCCUGACAGCCUUGCUUACUUACAAUGGUCCCCGACCACCGUCUUCACACAGUCUCCAACGACAUGCUCUCAUACCACUUGUUGAGAAGUAAGUGAAUGUAAAAAUAAUUACUUUUAUUAUAAAACAAUAUUUCAACUCUCUAUUUUAUCAUCCUCUCACAACAACUCAUUGUACUUGCUUACCCAUUCCCUCACAAGCCUCACAAGGACACAACUCUCGCACACACCCACUUACUCUCUAUUUCUCUACCCUUCACGCCACCUACUCCACUUCACACACACACAACACCCCUCACACUUACUUCACACACGUACACACUCAAGGGGCAAGAACCCCUAUUUAUAGGGUGUAAAGUCGGUGAGAAAAAUCUGGAGAGAGGGGGAGAGAAAAGUCUGGAGAGAGGGAGAAAAAAUCUGGUGCAGUAGAGAGAGGGAGAGAAAUCUAGAGAAAUCCAAAGAGAGAGAGAGAGAGAGAGGCGGUGCCUUUUUCUUCUGACAGUGACAUCUCAGUUGCAAUACGUGGCAAAUACUAUGAAGGUUUUGGCAUAAACAAAGCCGCAUGUGUGUUACCUUAUAGUGGUGGAAGCGUUCUUGAUUUGCGGAUGUAAACUCACCACCUAACAAGAAGUUGCCGAAGUUAAUCGUGUUAUGCAAUGGAUAUUGCGCCAGCAAGUAAACACCGGUGGAGCAAGACUAAUAAACUCACCAAAUAUAUACAGAUAAUUUUUCCAAGCAACUGCCUGAUGAGCAGCGCAAGGAGGUGGACGACUAUUGGGACUGGAGAUCAACUUCCACGCCUGCCUCUCCACGUCAUACCGGUAAAGAUCACCGUACACAAAAGUCUGCGCCAUUUUGAAACCGGGGUCGUGACCAAAAAAAUGAGCCAAGCUCGCGGCAUAAACAUAAGCACUCCAUCAACUAUUCUCAACGCCUCACCUUGGUGCCAUUGUAAAACUCGCCGCCAUAAAAAAUCAGCUCCGUAUCUUUCAAAGGAUUCAGCGUCAUCUACAGGAGUUAACAGUACCAUUACAAAAACUAAUCAAUCACACAAUUCAGGCAAGCCACCAUAAGGUGAGUAAACAAAAUGGCACGCAGCGAGAGCCGAUAAAGAGAGUCAUUACCGUGCAAUUAGAUCGUGGAGAAGGCGCCGGUACAUUUUCCUCAAUGUGGACCUCCUUCUUCUUCGCUUCCUCUUUUUGUAUGCUUAGCUGGUCAGUAGGGGUGCAAACAAGUCAAUUCGAGCUUAACAAGGAGAAAGCAGCCAUGUCUAAUCUUAAAUCAAGAACAUAUAUUGCAGUUUCAAAGAUCAAAUUAUCGUCGUAAUCUAUGGGAAGCAAUUGAAUUUCUCAGUCCACUAGUGACACGCGACAAGACUCGGUCUUUCACGUUUUUUUUUCCUAGAAACAGAGGAUAGACAGCACCAUCGGUAUUUCUCAAAUCCUAAGUUUCGGACACAAAAAAGAGGUUUUGCGAUGGACUGCAUCGUCCCGGCAGAUAAACAUCCGGCGAGGCGGUUAAAGCGGGAGCAGCAUCAUACGAGGAUGGCGUCGAUGUCGUCUUCAGGGGAGAUCUUCUUGGUGUCCCGGCGAGCUCUCUUCUCCUCCGCCUUGGCGGUUUUCCUCACCGUUUUCUCCUUCCCCUUUCCCGGUGUUGGGAAUUACUGAUCCCCGAAAUACCGGAUUCGACACUAAAUCGAACCCCUAAAUCAAUGCGGAAGCGAAGCCCGGGAAAACACGCAUCACCGAUCGUAAAGCACACCACGGAUUCGAGCGUACCUUGUUAGCCACAGAUUAAACACCAAUGCCGAAGAAGAGGAAGAAAUUCUGGGCCCGUUCGAUCCGAUGACGACUUGAAGGGAAGGAAAGCGCGCCGUAUGCUUACUGCCUUUUCUUUUUGGGUGAGAGAGAGCGUGAGAAGAGAAAAGACGUACGUUUAUCAAAACGUUGUCUUCUCUCUCUCUCUCCUCCCCUUUUAUACCUUCCCCCUCCACGGGCCCUAUUCCCGUGGGCCGGGCCUUUUGGGCCCAGCAUGGGCGGAUGGGCCCUAAGCCCAUCUCAUAAAUCCAUCAUCUCCCACUCGCACAUGGUGGUACAAAACCAACAUGGGCGGACAAGCCCUACUUAGCCUCAUUUGAGAAAAAUCCAUCAUAGACUUUCUCUUAACAUGGUGGGUCGAACAUAAUCCUCUUUACCUCUCUUCAACAUUCAUACCGGUGAAUAAUCCGUGCGACCAGCAUACUUUGAGAGCUCGUUUGCCAUACAUCUGUUAGGAAUACAUAGCAGCUCAUAAUGGGCAUCACACUCCGAGUAGAUUUAGUAUGCAGUACCCUAGAUCGAUCAAUCACAUUUAUAUCUCUCUUGAUCUCUUUUCAAACAAUGAUAUAUAUAUUGUAUUCACAAUUAUGAUUAUCACAAAGACAGUCAUAAUUGGUUAACCGGUGAAUACAAAACUAUAAUGUGAUUCUCCAAAAAUCGAUCUUCCUCUUUCCUUCAAACUCUCAAUUUCAGUCCAGCUUGCUUUUCUAGAAAUGCCCCAUUAGAUCGAAUCAAACUCAUGAUCAUUGGCAACAUCCUAAGAUAGCAAACACUAAAUAGAAAUCUUGAGAAUAAGUAAGAGUCAUGAGGGGACUAAGAAAUUUGAGGAACUCUCUUCCUCAAGAGUCUCACACAACAUAAAAGUUGAGAUCAAACUUUUGCCACUCUUAUUGGUCGUCUCAUGCAUACGUAGUAUGAAAUACGUAUUACGGUAUUAACUCCUUUCCCAUGGAGCGUAUGUCUACACCUUUCAAUACCGUACAGAUGAUAGUUCAGACAUACCCAAUGUCUAACUUGAGUUCACGUAUCUACUCAUUCACUAAAUUCAUCAGAACUCACAUCUGGCAUCUUAGACAGAUAAAGUAAAAUAUGUGGGGUAUUUUACUUUCGGACAUAGUAAGUAUUAUGUCCUCAUCUUAACACCUAGUUAAGGCGACAUACGUGUUUUAAGCUUGAGCUCUCAAUUAUCACCUAGAUAAUAAGCUUAAAAACAGUCUCAUCUCUAUUUAUCACACAGUAAAUAGAGGCGAUUACCCGUGUGAGUGGGCUAAUCUCAUCUGUCCGACAUACUUUUUCUAACUUAAAAUAAUGCACUGAGCAUUAAGAUGCAUAAAGAUCAAACAAAGAUUCAUAGGCAUUAAUGAUGAAAACACAAAUUCAUCAAAUGUGAACUCUUAGGGAAAUUACAAUAUUCAGUACAUCAUCCUCUACGCAAUCCUAGAGAUUUCACAUGGCCACAAAACACAUCUCUAGGUAUUGGCUUUGUCGUAGGAUCUGCUACCAUUCUAUGCGUAGUAUGUACUCUAAGUUCAUAUAUUUUCGUGCAAUCAUAUCCAUGACAAAAUUAUACUUGGUAUCUAUAUGUUUGGUCUUGCCAUGAUAUUUGGAUCUUUAGUGUACACUUUUGCUGCUUGAUUAUCAUAGUUAACUAAUAACAAAUCUGCAGCACUUCCAAUAACACCUAAAUGAUCCAAUAAUCUCUUAAGCCAAAACAUCUUCUUAUACUGCUGCUGAUAAUGCCACGAACUCAAUUCCAUCGUGGACAAGGCUAUAUACUCUUGUUUCUUACUGCUCCAACACAUGGUGCCAUUAUUCGGUAAGAGAACAAACCUAGAGGUAGAUUUCCUUUCAUUUAAAUCUUCUCCCCAAUCAACAUCAGAAUAGCCUUAGAGUCGCAGAUCCUUUCCAUAAUAACUCUACAUAUAAUCAGCAGUCCACUUUAGAUACCUCAGUAUUCACUUAACGGCUUUCCAACGUGCUUGACCUGGAUUGGAUUAGUAACUACUCACCAUUCCAAUUACAAAACAUAUGUCAGGUCUUGUACACAUCAAAGCAUACAUAAAGCUUCCAACAGCACUAGCAUAAGGAACAUGUUUCAUUUGUUCCUUCUCUUGUGGAGUCCUUGGACACAGUCUAUGGCUCAAUCCUUCACCUUUUGCAAUAGGAGCGUCAAUGGGUUUACAAUCCCAUAUCAUUCAAUUCAAAAUUUGGAAGACAACCAACUUUUGACAGUAUUGACUAGCUCCAUAUUGUUUCCGGCAAUUAGUAUAUCAUCAACAUAUAAUGAUAUGAUCACAAAUUGAUCCUUGGAUCUUUUGAUAUAUACACAAUGAUCCUCAUCUAUCAUUGUAAAGUCAUAUGCCAUUAUGGCAUUAUGAAAACGUAUAUAUCAUUGUCUUAACGACUGCUUAAGGCCAUAUAUCGACCCCCAAAGUCGACAUACCUUUUCUUCUUGGCCUUUCACUAUGAAACCAACAGGUUGUUCCAUAUAUCUUUCAUCCUCUAAUUUUCCAUUGAGGAAAGCAGUCUUUACAUCCAUUUGAUGUAGCUCAAGAUCCAUACCAAACACUAUUGCCAGAACUAUGCGAAUCAAGGCAAAUCUUACUAUAGGAGAAAAAAUAUCUUCAUAAUCAAUUCCUUCCUAUUGAUUAUACCCCUUCGUCACAAGGCGAGCCUUAUGCCUUUCAAUCGAGCCAUUAGCCUUUCACUUUAUAUUGAGAACCCAUUUGUUCCCAAUAGCUCUGCGUCCUUUUGGCAGAUCAACCAGUUCCCAGACUUGGUUUGAUUUCAUUGACUCCAUUUCCUCUUCCAUUGCAUUAAUCCAUUUUUCCUUACUAGGGCAAUUUAGAGCCUCAUUAAUAUUUCUUGGCUCAUACUCAUCUUGUGGAGCAAUCAUAAAAGUUUCCCUUUCAAUGUCAAAACAUCGACGGGGAAUACUUUGGCGACUUAUUCACCGUAUGGGAGAUUGUACACUUAGCACAUCAUUCCCCAUUAUGCUCCCACUUGGAUUAGGUAAUGAUGAUGUCGUCACAUCAAGUGGUUGCAAUUGAGAAUGAGUUGAAUUCAAUUCAUCACAUCUCAUAUUACUCCCACUUGGAUGAACACCACUAAUAUCAUAAUCUUAAUCCAAGGUUUCAAAUAGGAAGUAAUCUUCCCCUAUUUCGCCCUUUUUAGGAAAUUCAUCCACUAAGAAUGUGACAUCCUGUGAUUCAAAUUCAGUUAUUCUCCCACUUUCCUGCUCACCUACAAACACAUACCCUUUUGAGUGUUCGGAGUAUCUCAUUAAAAUACUCUACUUUUAUAUGGGACUCAAUUUCCCAAACUUGUGAGAGGACAUAUGAGUAUAGACAGCAUAACCCCAUGGCUUAAGUAAACUUAAGUCCGGUUUUCUACCUAUCCAUAACUCAUAUGGAGUGGAACUAACUGAUUUGGAAGGCACCCGGUUAAGUGUUUAGGCAGUAGUUAACAACGCAUCACUCCAUAAAAGUGAUAUGUAAGUUAGCAUAUGCCAUCAUGGACCUAACCAUUUCUAGUAGGGUUCUGUUUCUUCUCUCUGCAACACCAUUUUGUUGAGGAGUAUAUGGAAUAGACAACUAUCUUUCUAUUCCUUUUUCAUCACAUAAUUUUCUGAACUUAUCAGAUAAAUAUUCUCAGCCUCGAUCGGAUCUAAAUACCUUUAUUUUCCUGUCUAAUUGAUUUUCCACCAGGUUCAUGAACCUUUUGAAACAACUUAUGCUUCAGAUUUAUGAGAAAUCAAAUAGACACAUCCGAAUCAAGUAGAAUCAUCCAUAAAAGUGAUGAAACAAACAGCCCCUUGCCUUCCUCUCACAUUUAUUGAACCACAAACGUCAUAAUGGAUUAAAUGCAGAGGAACGUUAGCUCUUUUACCUUUUCCAAAUGGUUUCCUUGUCGUUUUCCCUUCUAGGCAAUGCUCACAUAUGGACAAAUCAACUUUUUCAAUAUUGCCCAAUAAGCCCUGUUUGGCUAGUCUUUUCAUAUGUUGUUGGCCCAUAUGACCAAGUCUAGCAUGCCAUAAUAUUCACAUCAUUAUCAUAUAAGAUAGAAGACGUGAAACAAGGGGAUAACAUAUUGACAUCAUCACAGUCAACAUUUAGUACAAUAAAACCAUCUAGAAAGUGACCACUAUUAUAGUAGUUUGUAUCCAAAUACAAAUCUACAGCUCUAUUAUGGAAGUUCAUAUUAAAACCAAGCUUAACCAACAGUAAAACAGACACCUAAAUUUCGACGAAUUUCCAGAGCAUUUAGAACAUCAUGUAGGAACAAGUUGCGUCCACCACACAUGUUCAGUUGGCAGGUGCCAAUCCCUAUUAACUUCAGCUCUGGAGUUGUUUUCCACAUAGAUCCACUCAGUUCCAGUUGGUAUUCGUCGGAAUUCCACGUAGGAUCCUUUAUCCUUCGCUAGAUCGUCUGUUGCUCUUGAAUCUACAGUCCACAAAGGAUUGGAUUCAUCCAAUAAUUCAGAACUUGACACAUAAUCAAAGUUCUCAAAUGUACAAGAGGUGUAUGCCUUCUUUGGCUCACAACAGUCGCGAGCAUAGUGACCCUUCUUGUCACAGUUGUAACAUUUCACUCUUGACAUUUUCUUCAAUUGAGGACGUUUUCCUCUCUUGUGUUGGUUAACUCUUGAUCUCUUGUAAUAAGGACUUGAUCCUUUGCAUUCCCACAUAUUGAACGAAUCAAUACAUUUGCGCUUAGAGCACAAAGCCCUUUCUGAGCUAGAACCAGCAUUGCAAAUAUCUAUUUACAGCUCAAAUGCCGUUAGGCGGUCCUCAACUAGCUCAAGGUGGCGCACAACAUUUAUAAGAUCUUCCAUAAUAUGGUCAAGAGCUUCUAGUGCUUCUUGCUUUUCCAGCACAUAUUGAAUCUUCAUAUUCAAUAUUUCACAAUUGUAGCCGUUCAUAUCAGCAAUCACGCUCUUUAUUGCUGAAACCAUCAGUCUGAACACAUCAGACAUACAUGCACGAAUAAUUAAUGCCUAUCAUUUAUGCAUCCCUAUUUGCAUAGACCCAUCAUAUUAAUAAAUAAUUUUAAGUAAGGCUUCAGAAUCAAAAGGUCACUACGUUUCCAAUCAUCCUCCAAAAAUCCUAACUUAAAACUAUCAUUAAUAUGAUUGUCAUAUGCAAAAUCAAUUCUAUGAAGUUACAAAAACUUCUAUAACUACCCACAGCUAACUACCCACAGCAACCAGCAAUAGCAGAAAGCAAAUAAAAAUUUUUAACAUCCAAUAAAAUAACAAUGCUUUCACAUGAUACAACUAAUAUAUCGGUUGCUACAUUAACAACAAUCAGGUAGUAAUCAUUACACUAAGCAAUAUAUACAAAGAAAAAUAUCAACAUGGAAAGAGAUAUUUACAUCUAUAAAAAAUCUCACAAUUAAUCUAAGAAAUAAUUAGGAAAUGUCCCUUCUAAUCUAUCAGCCAAAACAUCUGAGAAAACUGAAGGUACAUUUGCCAACCAUGGAAAAACUUUUGGAGAGCUCUCAUGUCGCCACCAAGGCGCAUUCUCUCUGCGCCACGUAGCGCACAAUCUAAGGGUUGAAGUUUUGGCCAACUCAAUCCUAUAGUACUCUCUUACAAAAGCUUCCACCAGCCUCCUAUAACCCGGGACCACGUUGACCUCCCAGAGCCGAUCUAACACUGCUUGCCAUUCAGGUGGAAGAGUGUUCAACAAAGCCGGCACCUUCUCAAAAUCCGGCAUAAGAUAACCAUUAUUGAUGAUUUCCUGUAUCAUCCGAUUAACCUUGACCAUAUGUGAUACUAAAUCACCAUCAAGCCACCGAAAAUCAGCUAACUCUUUCAUCAGCCUUUUCAGUCUAGCUCUUCCUUCGUCCGUUCUCGGGAUUGCAGGUAUCCGUGCAUUACGCAUCAUAGUUUCUGCAACAAAUGCAGAAUUAAAAAUGGAUCACUUAUCAUCCAUAAUUAAUAUCAGAGAAAAUACAUAAUUUUUCAAAAUUCAUGCAACAAAUGCAGAAUUAAAAUGGAUGACCUACAACCCACACUGACAUAAUUGAAAAAGAAACAAAUUCCUUUUUUUUUUUUUUUUUUUUCGGGUCAACGGUCAACGGUCAACGGUCGUCGGUCACGGGUCAACGGUCAACGGUCGUCGGUCAACGGUCAACGGUCAACGAUCGUCGGUCAACGGGCGCGCGGGUCGAACCGGUCGGACCGGACGGGCCGGUCGGACCGCUCGCACGGACCGACCGCACGUGCCUCGUGCGUGCGGGGGAUGACGUCACGCAGACGUCAUCCGGCACGUGCCGGGCGCGUGCAGCCUUCGCGAGUCGGGUCGGGUCGCCGGCAGGUCGGGUCGCCGGCCGGUGACCGGCCGGCCAAACGUCAUCGGUGAUGACGUCAUCGGUGACGUCAUCGGUGACGUCAUCCGAACGGUUACCGACCGUUGGAUGACGUCACGAUGACGUCAUCUCGUGACGUCAGCACGCGUCGGUCCGCGGACCGGCGCGUGCCGCUUCGCCGGUCGCCGGCGCGCACGUGCCGGUUCGUCACCGGCGCGUGUGGCGCACGCGCUGGCGAAGCCAGCGCUUCCAGGCGCGUGGCGCCCACGCGCAGCGGCUUCUGGCCGCGCGUGUGGGCGCGUGCGGCGUUGUACGGCGGCGUGCGACAUGUCACCGGCCUCGUCUUGACGUCGCGCUUCUCCCAGUGCUUUCAGAAUUUGUUUUUGACAUUUGAAAACUCAUGAAAAUGGCCUAAGAAGUCUCGGGUGUCGGGAUUGUUGUCCCAAUCCGUACGGCCGAGAGUUUCUUCGCGAAAAAUCAAUCAAAAACACAUCAAAUUGAUCGGGAAAACGUGAACCUGGCUCUGAUACCAAUGUUGGGAAUUACUGAUCCCCGAAAUACCGGAUUCGACACUAAAUCGAACCCCUAAAUCAAUGCGGAAGCGAAGCCCGGGAAAACACGCAUCACCGAUCGUAAAGCACACCACGGAUUCGAGUGUACCUUGUUAGCCACAGAUUAAACACCAAUGCCGAAGAAGAGGAAGAAAUUCUGGGCCCGUUCGAUCCGAUGACGACUUGAAGGGAAGGAAAGCGCGCCGUAUGCUUACUGCCUUUUCUUUUUGGGUGAGAGAGAGCGUGAGAAGAGAAAAGACGUACGUUUAUCAAAACGUUGUCUUCUCUCUCUCUCUCCUCCCCUUUUAUACCUUCCCCCUCCACGGGCCCUAUUCCCGUGGGCCGGGCCUUUUGGGCCCAGCAUGGGCGGAUGGGCCCUAAGCCCAUCUCAUAAAUCCAUCACCCGGCUUCUUCGUCUUCUUCCCCAUCCUCUCUCUCUCUCUCUCUCUCUACAGUUCACCGUUUCGUCGGCCAGACUGGCGGCAACUCUCGCAACUAGAAGAAGGCCGACGGCGGGAGCAGACAGAGGAGGGGAGGCGAGGUUUCUCUUUCGAGGGGCGUUCUUUCAAGGGAAAUUUCACUUUCGUCCCUGUAGUUUUGGGAUCCUUCGCUUUUUGACCCGUGUACUUUAUUUUCGUCGCGAUUAUAAUCCUUGUGCUAUUCUUCCACAAUAAUUUGAUGGGAUGAGUUCUCUAGAAAUCUUAAAAUUUAUAGUGGAAGUGCAAUUGAGUCCUAAAAAUUUCAAAAAGUGCAAUCAAGUCAUAAACCUCAUCACCAAAGUACAAUCGAGUCCUAAAAAUCUCUAAAAAUGCAUUUGAUGACAUGACUUCAUUGAACUAAUUCGACAAGUUUAGGACUUGAUUUGCACUUUUUGAAAAUUUUAGGACCCGAUUACACUUUCGUGAUAAAUUUUAGGAAUUAAUUAUAAAUUUUGAAAAUUUUAGAACUUAUUUAUAUUUUUAUGAUAAAUUUUAAAAAUUUUGACACACUUGUCAUAGUUUGAACUUGUUCGUCAAAUUUCCAGGGAUUUUUCCGUUCUCUUUUGCUUUGUCCACCUAAAAAGGAAAAAGAAAAACGUUCUCUUCCGCCGCAUCCUUUCUUCCUCUAUAUAUUUUGUUUUUUUUUUUUGGUAAAAAUCCUCUCUAUAUUUUGUUGGUAUUUUGUUCAUAAAACAAAUAAAGAGGUGCAUUGUCCCACAUCGAAAAGAUAUGAGUGCACACGUGGAUGAGAUUUGACACUAACUGACGAUCAUUAAUUUUAUUUAUUGAAAAUUCGAAUUUAUUUCUAUCAAAAAACUAACUAUAAAGUUUUGUUGAAACAGUGCGACUGUUCACAAAAAGUUACGGUUAUUUUUAUUUAUUAUUUAUUUAAUUCCGAAUUUUUAUGUUUUUUCAAUGUAACCUUUAAGGCAUACUUGUUCAUUUUAUAACAUUUCCUGAAAGAUCGCAUUUGUUCUUUUUUGCAACCUUUUGAAAAGUUGCAUCUAUUCGAAAGACAAAGAUAAGUAACGUUGUUUAAUCUUCUUUCAUUUUUUCGUUUUCUUUCGAAAGAAACUAUAGCGAUUGUUUAUAAUUAUUUUCCAUGAGAGGUCUUGGAGAAAUAUUAAAAUUGUUAUAUAGUAUUCUUAUUUGAGACUUUGUUGUAUCCUGAAGGAAAUUUGCCGGUGACCAUUGGCAACUUUGUGGGGCAAAUAAAUCCUUAAAGAAAAUAAUAUCACGCCUCAAAGUCUGAUUUGAUUACUCGAUCGACUUUAUUAUUCUAUCCAAUUUGAAGACAUAUUUUCCUAACAUAUUUUAGGUGGCCACCUUCAGUAUUCGAUACCAUCCAUGUCCUGACGUGCACGGCUUUCGCUUUUGUCUUCGCCUCACUCGCAAGCGAUGUACUUGCUUGCCGUGGCUUUAUUCUGGUCAACCUCUCGAAGUAAUCCCCUGGCUUGCCUAAUGGUAGAUGCACUCAGAUCGCUUCCCAUGUCACCAACUAAUCUGAACUCGAUAGGCCAAGUCGUAUAUUUGAUUUAUUCUGGAGGUUGAGCUCGUGACUCUAGCUUCGCAGGAUGCAGAUGAGAAAAUGCAUGAUGAAGCUCAGCAGAUGCUGCUGUGCCUGUUUGACAAGAUUCAUUCAGACAACAGAUGACACAAGGGAUUCCAAGGCUUAUCAGACGCUGGUACGCCUAUUCGACGUAGACAACAUGACCAUCCUCAAGCAUUUAAUCUAUGCCAAGAACGACAUACAGCCGCUGGUGGACGGUACCACAAGAUUGAGGGUUUGGUCCUUCUUCCUUUUACCUCUUCCCUCCCAUUAUUGUACUCAAUUGGCCUCGACCUAGUCAAUAUCCAUCUACAGAAAUAUAACAGCAAUGCUCUCUCACUUCACAACAACCAGGUCAGCCUCGAAGUGCUGAGAAAGAAAACAGUGUUGCUACUAAUAUCAGAUCUUGACAUCGCCAUUGAAGACAUAGAAUUUCUCAAUUACAUCUACAGAGAGUAUCAUGCAAGGCCUGAGAACCAGUUUGAAAUGGUGUGGCUUCCAAUUGUGGAUAUCGAUCCAAAAUCAGCUGCUUCGGAUAUGACCCAUCAGCAGAAAUUCGAGGAGCUGCAGAGCAUCAUGCCAUGGUACACUGUCCACCACCCUUCAAUCCUUGAACCAGCCGUGAUCAGGUACAUAAGAGAGGAGUGGCGUUUCUCAAAGAGGGUCAUCAUAGUAGCUCUGGAUCCACAGGGGAGGUUGGCGAGCCCCAAUGCCCUCCACAUGAUCCGGAUAUGGGGAAAUUUGGCCUUCCCUUUCACUAAGGAACGAGAGGAAGCGCUGUGGAGGGAGGAGAGUUGGACACUCAAGCUGAUCAUUGAUGGCUUAGAUGACGGGACUAUGGUGGAAUGGGUAAAAACUUUCAUCCCUAACGAUCCUUUGUUCCCCAUAUUUAUUCUUAGAUAUGCAUCUGUUGGGGAAAUUAGUUUGGUGAAGAAGAUGAAGAAAAUAUUAGUAGAUCCUUAAUGGCUUGAUGCAUGAUGACAAUCACUAUCCUUAAGGUAUUAUUUGUCCCUUCUAUUGUUGCUGCUUGGUUUAGAACAAUUAUACCUCUAGAAUAUACACCAAAGCCGCAGAGAAAGGAGUUUGGCAAUUACUCGAAUCUCUCUUGGAAUUUUUCCAUGAAUGUGUUGAGAUUACGUGUAUGAAAAGAAAAUAAGAGAGAGUUUAGAAGAAAAAGUGCAUUUUUGAACGGUUGUGGUUAUUAUAAAUAAUAUGUGAAUUAGUGUUUAUUCAAAAAAAAAAAAAAACAAUCAAUACAUCUCUUAGAAAUAAGUAUCUUAUCUCCAACCAUCACAAUUUUUCAUGUCAAUAAUAACUUCUUCAUAACUAUUAACUACUCUAACUUCCUUUUAGGCCGAAGAGUAGCCUCUUUUCACAAUGAAGAGUCAUGUCUUCUUUAAUCAAGAGUCAUGUUUUAUUUUCAUCAAAAGUCAAGUAUUCUCUUAACUAAGAGACACCUAUUUAUGAUAACAAACUAUUUCAACAAUCCCCCACUUAGUUUGUUAUCUACACUAAUUUACAUAAAUUCAUACAUACAAGACCAUAUCUAUUAAGAUUUGAACCUUCAAUUAGUGUAGAUAAUUCAAUUAACCAAAUCAGUGGUAGAUAAAACUUUGAACCAUCAUUUUUUUAAUCAAAUUAUUACACAUAUGAAUUUAUACACAUUCAAUUAGAAAUUUCCUAUGCUUAAGCACUUUUAUGGCCUAAGUAUACACAUUUACUUAGAAAUUUCCCAUGCUUAAGCACUUUUAUGGCCUUAUGCUUAGGGGUAAGCGGUUCCGGAUUCGGUUUCACUUGGAACUUGAAAUCUACCCUCACAUAUAUGUUCUUUAUUUUUUAGAAGCUGGAACCUACCCAUUGAGAUAUGGAGCCUAAAACUCACCCUAAGUUUUAGGAUUGGUUCCAGGGUUUAAUAGGUUCUUUCUUCUUCUUCUUCUUCUUCUUCUUCCUUAUUUAUUUAUUUAUUUAUUUCAUUUUUAGUUUAAAAGACGAAAAUGAACGCAACAAUAAUGACCAAAUUUGUCAUUCAUCAAAGAGAAAAUAAGACGAACAAAGUUAUCUAUAGUGAAAAUGAAAUUCUUGACAAUGACUUCAACUAAAUAAAAGAGAGGAAAUAGAGCAAAAGUCUGCAUUGAAAUUAAACAAAAUUCACUAGACUUCAUUGUUGAUUAGGGGUGAGUGAUUUCGGGUUCCAUAUAGGUUCCACCUAUCCAUUUGAGCAAAUUCAAUUCGAAAUCCAUCCCGCAUAUCCUAAGACCUAGAACCUACCUCAUGAUCUAUUCAAGUUCCACUUAUAUUAUCAAUUGAACGAUUACAGUAAAUUAAAACCUUUAAUGACCACCAUUUGCUAUUAUAAUUUUAUGACCAUAAUUUAUAUUUAGACAUAUGAAAGAUAUGGACAUUAAUAAAGUGGAAGUCUUAGUUAUAAAAUAGAAGCUCAAACUAAUGCUUUUAAAUUAUACAUUCAUUAUCGAACAACAUGAAAUAUCACAAAAUUGCAUGAAGACAUAGACUAAGAAAAAUAUUAAAACUUGUUCUAAAUUCUAAGUUACAGAUUCAGGUUCAAUCAAGAACCUAGAACCUACCAAUCGAAACAGAUUCCUUAUUUUUUGGAACUUAGAACCUACCGUACAUAUCUUGAAACCUAAAACUUACAUGUACUCACUAGUAUAGUUCUUAGGUUCCAGGUUCUACCUUAGAAUCAUGCUUACCCCUACUUACUCCUCCUGCAUUCAUAAUUACAAAAGUUCAUCCAACUUUUUUUAGAAGUGGCACCAUUUCUUAUGUUUAUAUAGGUGAAGUUCUUGAAUUUGUUACCUCUACAUUCUCUUGCUAAAACCUUGAACUUCAUUAGGAGUGUUGUGUUAAGCUCAUCAUCUUAACUUUUUAUGAGUGCUAACCUUGUGUCCUAGUACUCAAUCACCGUCAAGUUACAAUAGCUUGUUGUUAUCCAUUUAACUUUAAUAAUUUUGUUAGAAAUUAUAAAGUCGGGUUUCUAUUGUGCUUGACUAUUAUCAAUUGGCCUAAGGCCCAUUCCCUUGGCAAUACUAGUUAUUAAACCUCUCAAGAGUCCCUUAGUAAAUGGAUCGACUAAGUUAUCCUUUGUCCGAAUGUAAAUUACUAAAAUAACGCCAUCAAUAAUUAAUUGUCGAACAUACUCAUAUCGCAAACUAAUAUACCUAGAUUUUCCAUUGUUUAUUUUAUUGUAUGCCCUAAACAUAAUUACCUCACUAUCACAACACAAAGAUAUGGCUGCCAUUGGCUAUGACCACAACUCUGUAUCCAAUACUAAAUUGCGCAACCAUUUAGUCUCUUUAUUAACCACCAAUAGUGAUAUAAUUCAUAUUCCAUUGUUGAAUGAGUUAUACAUGUUUGCUUCUUUGAUGUUCAAGAGUCGCGCCAUUGGCAAGCUUUAAAAACCUCAUUCUUUGAAUAUCCUUCUAGUACUAUUGGUUGCCUUUCAAUGCACAGUACUUGGAUCACCAAUAAAUUUGGAAAAUUUACACACAAUAAUUAUUAUAUUUGGUCUAAUGUAAUGCAUAAUGUGCACCAAACUUCCAAUUGCAUUGGCAUAACUAUUGUGCUAAAUGUUGUCUAGUAUUUUUCCUCUUUGAAUGAUUUUCUCCACGUAGUGACAUUGACUUAAAGCAUAACAUCCACUAUAUUUGAUCACUUUGAUAUCUAAAAUUGUAUCAACUUCUCUCAAAUCUUUCAUUUUAUACUAAUAAGAUCGAUACCUUUUAGUUUGGCAGAAGUAUAGCCCAAGUGCCAAAACUUGGCACGAAAUGACACUUAAGUGCCAAAAGUUAGGAAAAUGACACUAAGUGUCACUUUUUUUUAAAAGUGAGACACUUUAAGUGCUAUCUCCAGCAAAAUCCCACUAGAAAUCCUACGCGGCAAUUUUUUUAUUAUUUUUUUCGUCUACAUGGCUCGCCGAAAUGCUGACUUAACAAAAAAAGGCAAACACGACGUCGUUUUUAAGCGGAUUCGAAUGUUAUUAUAAAAAUUAAUUUAAUUAAAUUAUAAAAAUAAAUAACAACUAUUACUUUAAUUUACUUUUAAAAAAGGUGGGGGAGAGGAGGCAGUGGCUGAGGUAUAACUCUAUACUCUUGAUUAAGUUUUGAAUAAAUGCACUUAGCGGCAUUGUUAUUUUUAAAUCCAUAUGAUAAUACCACCGAAUCAAAUUUUCUCGUGCCAUUGUUCUGGUACUUUCUUUGUCUCUACUCAUGUUGUCAUUCUCAACAAAAUGCCCCUUUUUUGCAACUUUUUUCACGUAAUUAGCCUCACGUUCACUAGAACCUUUCUCAGUUCGAAUAUGUUUUAUCACAUUAGCCACAAUUAGGUUCUCAAUCAUGUGGAGAAGUUUAUUUCGAUAAUCAUUCCAAGUUGAGGGCAAUUGUGAAAUAAUUGCAGCAACUUGAAGAGGUUCAAAAACUUCAAUCAUAAAGCCUUUGAGUUUGGCAACAUAUAUUUAUAGUUCAUCUGCUUGUUUAGAGACAAAAUUUCGAUUAAUCAUGGUAAAUACAAAAUAUUUCAGAGCAGUAAAUCUAUCGGUACCUUGUUUAUCAGUAUUAUAUUUAGUCUCGGAGGCAUUUCAAAUGUCUCUGGGAUUUGUGUAAAAUCGGAAAGUUUCAUGUAGACAAUCCGAUAAAGUAUUGAGAAUUCUUCCUCAGUACCUCCUUUCAUCAUCCUUGCGCCUUUUCCUUGCAACAUUGAUUUGAUCAGUCAUCAUCCUUAAGAUUUGGAGUAGUGAGCAAGCUGGGGUCUAGGAUGUAGAAGAUACAUAAUCCAGAUAGAAGAAGAAUCAUAUUCUCCUUCCAACGGAUGAAAUUAGUUCCAUCAUAAGGAUCGAUUCACAAUCAGUCAAGACUGCAAGCACUUGAUGCAGCCAAUGUCUCCAUCUCCAUAACAAUAAAUCCUUAAGAUUGUUGGGGAAAAUUUGUUUGGUGAAGAAGAUGAAGAAGUAGAAGUAGAUCAUUGACUCUUUAAUGCAUGAUGACGAUCACUAUUUUUAGGAUAUUACUUGCCCCUAUUAUUAUUGUUGUUGGGUUUAGAACAAAUAUACCUCCAAGAUAUACAUCAACGCCAUAGAUAAAUGAGCUCAGCAAGUACUCGAAUCUCUCUUGAAAUCUCCUUGAAUGUGUUCAGAUUGCAUGUAUGCAAAGAGAAGAAGAGAGAGUUAUGAAGAAAAAAUGCAUUUCUGAAUGGUUGUGAUUACUAUAAAUAACAUGUGAAUUGGUGUUUAUUCAAAUAAAACCAAUCAACACAUCUCUUGUAAAUAGAUACCUUAUCCCCAACCACCACCACUCUUCAUGUCAAGAAUAACUUCUUCAUAACUACUGAUAACUUCCUUUUAGGACAAAGAGUCGCCUCUUUUCAUAAUCAAGAGUCAUGUCUUAUCUUAACCAAAAGUCACGUAUUCUCUUAACCAAGAGAUACCUCUUUUAUGAUAACAAACUAUUUGAACAGCAAUCUCAAAAACACACUGAAAAGAGGCUUUGGCAAACAAACUUUGAUUAAGAAAAAAUAUUCUGAGAUGAACCAUGGACCAGGCUUUAUUUUUCUCUGCAAAAAGUAAAGCGGAAGAGGAAGUAAAAGAGGAGUGAGACGCUUGAUUCGGUAACAUAUAGCGACCAAGGUCUGAUUACAUCGCUUAAAAUUACCGCCAGAGGGACUAAGCAUUGAUAGGGACAACUUUUUCCAUCGAGGAAAAUGAAUUUCCUUGUAGUAAAGUGCACGUAGCCUGAACUUUCACAGUAUAAAGUAGUCCCAAAUAAUUCCUAGUAAAUAUAUGCUGGACCAUGUCCUAAUGCAGACAAGUAUCGCAUGUUAACAAAAUGUGCGCGGAGUAUUUGUGUCGGUAAUUAAAUAAUUCCUACUUCUGAUCAGGUGAGACGAGGAUCAUACAUUUGCCUAUUUGGAGGUGAGGACCUUGAAUGUAUCAGGAAGUUAACAGCCACAGCCAAAGAAGUCGCUAAGAUUGCUGGUAUCAUGCUGGGAAUGGUAUAUGUGGGAAAGAGUAAUUCAAAGGAAGGAGUGCGGAGAACAGCUGCGACGAUCACCUCAGAGAAACUGAGUUACUGCUGGAAUGACCCCAGAUUCUUCUGGCUCUUCUGGGCUAGACUCGAGAGCAUGCUCCACUCAAAGGUGCACCUCGGGAACUCCAUUGAAAACGACCCUUUACUGCCAUGGAUCCAGACGAUACUCAACUUUGACAGGAGCGACGAAGGAUGGGCGGUUUUCUGUCAGGGUGUAGGGCCGGACAUGGUGGCAGCCGAGGGCAACAUUGUCCUAGAGAGCAUGGAGGAGUUCGAUAAGUGGAAGGACGAUGCAAAUCAGAAGGGUUUCGUUAAUGCACUGAGAGACCAUCUAAUACAGAAGCAUCUGAUACGCCUGUUUGACGAGAUUCAUUUGGACAACAUGACCAUGCUCAAGCAUUUAAUCUAUGCCGAGGACGACAUACAGCCGCUGGUGGACGGUACCACAAAAUCGAGGGUUUGGUCCUGCACUUCCUUUUACUUCUUCCCUCCCAUUAUUCUACUCAAUUGGCCUCGAUCUAGUCAAUGUCUAUCUACAGAAAUAUAACAUCUCACAACAAAUAGGUCGGCCUUGAAGUGCUGAGAAAGAAAACAGUGUUGCUACUAAUAUCAGAUCUCGACAUUUCCUUUGAAGACAUGGUACUUCUCGACCACAUCUACAGAGAGUCUCGUGCAAGGCCUGAGAACCAGUUCGAAAUAGUGUGGUUUCCAAUUGUGGAUAUCGAUCCAAAAUCAGCUGCUUGGGAUAUGACCCAUCAACAGAUUUUCGAGACGCUGCAGAGCAUCAUGCCAUGGUACACUGUCCACCACCCUUCGAUCCUUGAACCGGCCGUGAUCAAGUACAUAAGAGAGGAGUGGCGUUUCUCAAAGAGUAUCAUCAUAGUAGCUCUGGAUCCACAGGGGAGGUUGGCGAGCCCCAGUGCCCUCCACAUGAUCCGGAUAUGGGGAAAUUUGGCCUUCCCUUUUGCUAAGGAGCGGGAGGAAGCGCUAUGGAGGGAGGAGCGUUGGACACUCAAGCUGAUCGUUGGUGGCUUAGACGACGGGACUAUAAAGGAAUGGGUAAAAACUUCAUCCCUAACGAUCCUUUUUUCCCCCAGAUUUAUUCUUAGUUAUGCAUCUUCAAAAAUGCACUUCAGAGAGGCUUUGGCAAACAAACUACGAUUAAGAUAAUAUAUUCCGAGAUGAACUAUGGACCAGGCUUUGUUUUUCCCCGCAACAAAAUAAAGCAGAAGUGGAAGUAAAAGAGGAGUGAGACAUUUGUUUCUGUAACAUAUAGCAGCAGUUAAAAAAAAAUGGAUAACAUAAGCGAGAAGAGGCAGUCUAUCCAAAUUUCUGAUCAGAUCGCCUAAAUCUACCCCAGAGGGACUUACCACCGUCAGGGACAACCUUUUCCAUUGAGGAAAAUGAAUUUCUUUGUGGUAGCACGUAGCCUGAACUUUCAUAGUAUAAAGUAGUCCCAAAUGAAACCCGGAAAAUAUACAAUGUACCAUGUCCUAAUGCAGACAAGUAUCACUUGUUAACACAAUGUGCACAGAGUAUUCUUGUCGGUAAUAAAUAUUUCCUACUUCUGAUCAGGUGAGACAAGGAUCAUACAUUUGCCUAUUUGGAGGCGAGGACCUUGAAUGGAUCAGGAAGUUAACUGCCACAACCAAAGAAGUCGCUAAGAUUGCUGGUAUCAUGUUGGGAAUGGUAUACGUGGGAAAGAGUAAUUCCAAGGAAGGAUUGCAGAGAACAGCAGCGACGAUCAUCUCAGAGGAACUGAGUCACUGCUGGAACGACCCCAUAUUCUUCUGGCUUUUUUGGGCUAGACUUGAGAGCAUGUUCCACUCAAAGAUGCACCUCAGGAAGUCCAUCGAAAACGACCCUUUACUGCAAGGGAUCCAGGAGAUACUCAGAGAUAUUCCAGUUGNNNNNNNNNNNNNNNNNNNNNNNNNNNNNNNNNNNNNNNNNNNNNNNNNNNNNNNNNNNNNNNNNNNNNNNNNNNNNNNNNNNNNNNNNNNNNNNNNNNNGUAUGGGGCUGGAUAUGGUGGGAGCCAAGGGCAACAAUGUCCUGGAGAGCAUAGAGGAGUUCAACAAGUGGAAGGACGAUGCAAAUCAGAAGGGUUUCCUUAAUGCGUUGCAUGGCCAUCUAAGACAGAAGGAGCUGGUACACCUGCUUGGCAAGAUUCAUUUGGACAAAACGACCAUCGUCAAGCAUAUGAUGGACGUCAAGGACGACAUACAGCUGCUGGUGGACCAUACCAUAAAAUCAAGGGUUUCUUCCUACUUUCUUUUACUUCUGCCUUCAAUUUAUUUGACUGAUCUAGUCAAUGUCUACCAACAGAAAUAUAACAGCAAUUCUCUCUCAUUUCCAAACAAACAGGUCAGCCUUGAAGAGUUGAGAAAGAAGACAGUGUUGCUACUAAUAUCGGAUUUUGACAUUGCCACUGAAGACAUCGAACUUCUCAACCGCAUGUACAGAGAGUCUAAUGCAAUGCCUGAGAACCGAUUCGAAAUAGUGUGGCUUCCAAUUGUGGAUAUCGAUCCACAGUCAGCUGCUUGGGAUGUGAUCCAUCAGCAGAAAUUCGAGGAGCUGCAGAGCAGCAUGUCAUGGUACACUGUCCACCACCCUUUGAUCCUUGAACCGGUCAUGAUCAAGUACAUAAGAGAGGUCUGGUUUUUCUCAAAGAGUAUCGUCAUGGUAGCUCUGGAUCCACAAGAGAAGUUGGCGAGCCCCAAUGCCCUCCACAUGAUCCGGAUAUGGGGAACUUUGGCCUUCCCUUUCACUGAGGAGCGAGAGGAAGCGCUGUGGAGAGAGGAGAGUUGGACACUCAAGCUGAUCAUUGGUGGCUUAGACGACGGGACUAUAAAGGAAUGGGUAAAAACUUCAUCCCCAACGAUCCUUUUUUCCCCCAGAUUUAUUCUUAGUUAUGCAUCUUCAAAAACGCACUUGAAAGAAGCUUUGGCAAAAAACUGUGAUGAAGAAAAAAUAUUCCGAGAUGAACCAUGGACCAGGCUUUAUUUUUCCUCGUAAAAAGUAAAGAAGAAGAGGAAGUAAAAGACGAGUGAGACAUUUGGUCCUAUAACAUAUAGCAACCAAGAUUUGAUUGCAUCGCUUAAAACUACCGCCAGAAGAACAAAGCAUGGCCAGGGACAACUUUUUCCAUCGAGGAAUAUGAAUUUCCUUGUAGUAAAGUACACGCAGGCUAAACUUUCAUAGUAUAAAGUAGUCCCAAAAAAUUCCUGGUAGAUACAUGCUGGACCAUGUCCUAAUGCAGACAAGUAUCGCAUGACAACAAAACGUGUACAGAGUAUUCGUGUCAGUAAUCUCUAUUUCCUACUUCUGAUCAGGUGACACAAGGAUCAUCCAUUUGCCUAUUUGGAAGCGAGGACCUUGAAUGGAUCAGGAAGUUCACAGCCACAGCCAAACAAGCCGCUAAGACUGAUGGUAUCACGCUGGAAAUGGUAUAUGUGGGAAAGAGCGAUUCCAAGGAACGAGUGCAGAGUAUAGCUGCAAUGAUCACCUCAGAGAAACUGAGUUAUUGCUGGAACGAUCCCACAUUCUUCUCGUUAUUUUGGGCUAGACUCGAGAGUAUCCUCCACUCGAAGGCACAUUACGGGAUCACCAGAAACGACCCUGUAAUUGAUGAGAUCAGGAAGAUUUGCACUUAUGACAGGACCACCCAAGGAUGGGCUAUUUUGUGCCAAGGUGCAGGGAUGGAGAUGGGCACAGCCAGGAGCGACAUUGCCCUCCUGGACAGCAUGGGGGUGUUCCAUGCACCGAUCUAAGAACAUGAUGAGUUUAAAGACUAUAGAAGAGCGGAGUAUCACUGGAGGUGCACCCCAGCAACUGCUUGAUCACGCCCGGGAGCGGUGUGAAUUCCCCAGAUAGAAUCGUGUGUGCAGAGUGCGGCGAGGAGAUGGGGACUAUUUACCGCCACUGCAACGAAUAAGCAGAAGAUAGAAUUGAUUACUUGAAUGUGAAGAUCUAUUGUGAUCUGCCAUCUUGAGGCUAUGAAAGAUUUGGUUGUGGAAGAGAGUGAUGCAGGUUGUAGUGUCGUGUCUGGUGUGCCGAUCAUUCCGAUAUAGCAUAUUUCAAUUGGAUUAAAACAACUGAUAGGUAUAAUCUACAUUUUUAUCAACAACGUGUCAACUGAGCCCUUUCCAUUAUGGGCUCCAGUCAAACACAAUUGCCUACACUUUGCUACUCAACUAGGCCCGUUAUCAAUAGAUGCAAAUACCCAAUUCAAUCAGAUCAGGUUCAACAAAUAUUGGAAUAUCCAUUAACCCAAUUAUUUAAAAUAAAAAAUCAAUUAAUUAAUGUAAACCCAUAUUAUAGGAAAUUUCAAACAUUCUCCCACUUGGGCCACAUUAAUUAACUUAUUUUAUUUUGAAAAGGAUUUUAUAUUUGAAAAAGACACUAUCGGGUUAAUAACUGAAAAUUUUGUUUAUGUGGCCACAACUUUUAAAAAAUAAUAUUCCAAUAAUGGCAUCUCAAUACCAAUCCAAUCCUAUAUAACCUCAAUAUCGGACUAUGGAGAUCAAUGUGUUAAAAAAAUACCACAACACAAUACCUUCCAUAAUCACAUAUAAUAAGUAUUAUAUUUUCAUGGAUCAUGGGCCUAGUAGUGUAGUAAGAAAUAGUGUCAAAGCCUGGCCCCGACGAGGCUCGGCCUCACCAGAUUUGGGCAAGGCAAAGCCUCACCGGGGCGAAGCUCGCCGGAUGUCGCCUAGCCGGUCGUCGGCCACGACGGUGAACGGCGACCGGCCAAAGAGAAAAAGAAAAAUGAAAAAUAAAAUAAAAAUAUUAAAAUAAAUAAAAAAAUUAUACAAGUUUACCAAACGUGUUUCUGUUCCAAGAACAUAAAUUUUGUACAGUUAUCAAACGUGUUCUUCUGUUCAAAAAAUUAUUCCUAGAAACAGAAAUAGUUUUUUAUAAUUAUGUUCCUAUGAACAAUUUUUGAACAAAAACGUUACCAAAUGUGCCCUUAAUAUAGUUGGUUAUCUUCUGUCGAUCUAUCUUGGGUUUGUUUCACUUUAGGAUAGGCUUCUUAGGAUAUGUUCGGUAACAUUUCUGUUUCGUGGAGCAAUUUCCUUUAUAAAUAAUAUUUUUCUAUUUUUAUUCCUCGAAACAAUUUUUGAGUAAAAAAAUGUGUUUGGUAACUAUACAAAAUUUCUAUUCUCCAACUAGACAAAGCACCGGGAUUCGUUUGAUACGGUUCACAAAUUUUUUUAUCGUAUAGAAUUUCUUUUAGUUUUUAAAGGUUUUUUAUUUUCCUUUUCUUCUUCUUCCCAGCAGGCAGCGGCUACGAGGAAGAAGAAGAAAACAAAAAAAUGAUUUUUUUCUAGAAAUUAUUCCCAUGAAUAAGAAAUUACUUUUUUCAACUUCUUAUUUCUUUUUCAAAUAUAUUCUUCGACCACUUUUCUAUUACAGGAGAUAGAAAUAUUGCUAUGAACAUCAUAUGUAACAAUGCCUUUGGUUUAUGGGAUUCAUCAUCCCAUGGGGUCUUAUUCAACGUUUUGAAACAAGGGAAAACCAGGAAGCUCCUUUGCUGAUUUUGGCCUGCCCAUGCAAAGCAAAAGGGUGCUGAGCAAAGACUUUCUAUCGCAUGGGAACAAACAAUCACACGAAAAGUUAAUUAUAUUUUUUUUCAAGGGAAAAAGUCACGAAAAAUCCUAAACUUUACCCAAAGUGACACAUUUACCCCAAUUUUUUUUUGUGGCGUGAAAAACCCCAAACUUUGCCGACCGUGACACAUUUACUCCAAACUUUUUUUUGUAACACAAAAAAUCCUGAACUUUUAUUACAUGACACAUUUACUAAUUUAUAAUUAUUUGUUAUUUGAUUUUUUGUAAUCCUGACAGAUUAUUAUUCUCAGAUCACCCAACCAUUUCACUUUCAUUUUCAUAAUUCCAUUCACCACUCACCUACCAAACCUUCGGGUGCUCGACGUUUCAGGAAUGAUUUUCUAAAAGGCCUUGUGCAAUUCUUGAAGGGAGUUAAAGUUGAGCUCUCGAUUCUGGUAUUUUUCCAACAUAUUUCUUUUAUUGAUUUCUUCAUAUGUCAACUUGACUUUAUCUUUCGGUUUAAUCCGUAAUUUUUUUCAUAUCCUCCCUGAUAUUCUGGAUCAUCUCUUGAAAACCGAAAUGCCUAGAGAACCAUAUAAAAAUGAGUAGAAAAUAUUUAUUUAUUAAGACCCCAUGCGUUUCAUAGAAAAUAUCACUUUUCUUGAACAUGUUUUCCAAAAAACCAUUUUCCAGGAAAAACAAAAAUUGGUAUUCAACUGAAAUUUGAAAUAAACUAGAAAAUUUUCUGCUGUUCAAUAUUUGAUUAGAUUUUCUAGGAAAAAUUAUCCAAAAAAUCAAAAUUUUUUUUAUUUUAAAAAUUUUUUUUAAAUGAUUUUUUUUUUCUUUUUUCUUUCUUUUUCUUUUCCUUCCUCCCCCUUCAUCCACCAGCCACGUGCCUCAACGAUGGCUGGUAGCCCAACGAACAGCCAAGACACGGGUCUACAAGCUCGAGGCUCAACCAAUCCAAGCAAGCCCAAGUUCCGUCUAGGCUCGGGCCUUGCUAGCCUUUGGCAAGGCUUGACUAGCCCAAGGAAGAAGGAAAAAAAGGAAGAAAAACAAAAAGAAUAGGAAAUAGUUCAGAACUUGAUUUUUUUUCAAAGAAAAAAAUAAUAAAUAAAACAUAAAAAUAAAAGGAAAAUGUGUUUGAUGAAGGUUGAUGAGGUGAAAGAAGAUACGGAAAACAUUGGCCUUACUUUUGAAUAUUCUUUUUCUAUUAAAGGGAGGAUGUUUUCCAUGACUAAUUUAUUUUCCGUGAAAUAAACGACAAAAAAUACAAAAAAUAUUUUUCUUAAAGUUGUUUUCCACGAAACGAACAUAACCAAAGGAUCCAUUUGUUUUGUAAAAAAAUCAACAAUUUCAUAGUAUUUUUUUAUUUAAAAUUGAUUGUUUAUGUCACUUACAAAAUUGAAUUGACCAAAAAGUACUUUCUUCGUCUGCGAAAAUGCUUAAACAUGGAUUGUUGUUUAUUAUAAAGUUUGUCGAAUAAUUAUUAUAAGUGAUACGAACAAUCAUCUUGAAGGAAGAUGCUUUUUGUGAAAGAUUCAAAAAUUACAUACAAAAGUAAAGAAUACUGACACUUGGAAGAGUCCCCGUUGGAUCUUUGAAGUAAUCUCGAUUCUUAGGAAAAGUGCCAAAAAAGGCCUAAACCUUUUUUAUUUUUGCCGAUUUAGUCCUAAAGUUUUUUACGUUAUGCAAAUUCAGUCUUUUACAGCCAAUUUUGGCCGGAUUUUGCUGACUGCACGCCGGCCGGCUGACGUGGCCCGAUCGGCACUGACGUGAACAACUUUUAAUAUUAUUUUAAUAUUUUUAAUAUUUUUCUUUUUUAAUUACUUUUUUCUUUUUCUUUUUCUUUUUUUAUUUUUAUUUUCUUCUUCUCCUCUUCUUCCUCCAACUGGUUGCUAGACCUCAACGACCGGCCACCUUGCCAGUAGCCGCGAGGGCGGCCUCACAAAUGGCAGCGAGGCUCGCCCUUGCCAGAUCCGGCGAGGGCAAGCCUCGCUCGCCUGGCGUGAGGCCACCCUCGAGCCCUGGGCGGCGAGGCUCGCCCUCACCAGAUCUGGCGAUGAGUUGGGGUUCAAGUCGGACUCCGUCAACGGCUUGCUCUUCACCUUUUGCGAGCUUGUCUCCAGGGAGUUGUUCUUCUCUCCAAAGAAGGCGGGGUACCUCACCGCGAGGUUGGAAUCCGUGGUGAAAGCAAAGCUGCCCCUACCACUGCCGAGGCGAGUGGAGGAGCUCGAUGGCUCGGGCCGAGGCAAGCUCAAGGAGCGCUAUGAAGGAAUUGGCGCUCUCCGAGGGCGGAGCCAUCGGGUGCCGAAGAUCCUCGAGGAGCACUGACUCCAGCACGGCAUCAAUGGAUCCGACUAGGGUUAGAGCUGUCGGCUCCAUUGGGAAUCGGCUUCGGGAGCUGAUCGAAUCAAGUUGGCCUCCUCGCACCAAGCUGUCAAGGCUCGCCCUCAUCGGCCAUGGGUGAGGCUCGACCAUCGCCAGAUCCGGCGAGGGCGAGUCUCGCUGCCUUGCGCGAGGCCGCCCUCGCGGCCAAUGGUGAGGUGGCCGACGAGGUCGACCUCAACCUCGCCAGCCGUCACCUCUGGCCGAUAGCCGAGGUUUGGCAACCAGCUGGAGGAAGAAGAAGAUAAGAAAUAAGAAAAAAUUAAUUAAUUAAUAAUUAAAAUAUUAUUAAAAAUUAUACACGUUAGCGCCGAUUAGGCCACAUCAGCCGGCCAGCGUCCAGUCAACAAAAUCCAACCAAAAUUGGCCAGAAAGAACUAAAUUAGCACAACGUAAAAAUGUUUAGGACUUUUUUGGCACUUUUCCCUCGAUUAUUUGUUGUUCCCGGGAAAGUAAGAUCAAAAGCAAAGUUACAAAGCAUAUUGCUGCUAACCUGCAGGCCUGCUCGCAAGGAAAGAACCUUCCUUUCGUGAGGAAGUCAUCAUCAUAGCAACUAACUACCAUAAAAGGAAGAGAUCGGGGGUUCUUUUUUUGUCUCAAACCAAAUACCCCCGACCAAUUUCCUCAUCGCUUAGCAUGGCCGAAUCACUCCUUAUCAGCAUUGCUCAGGGCGUGCUAGGGAAGAUAGCGUCACCGGCGCUCCAACAAACUGGUGCAAUAUACAAUGUUGAAAACCAGAUCCGCGAGCUUAAAGAUAAGCUUCCCGCCAUUACGGCCGUGUUGUCAGAUGCUGAGGAGAAACGGGCGAAGAACCCCCGCCUGCAAGUGUGGCUUGGUCAGCUUCAAGACGUGUUGUACGAUGCGGAGGAUGUGCUCGAUGAAAUCGAGUGUGAAGCCUGACGAAAGCAGGUCAUCAAUCAGUACGGCGGCGUCAAAGAGAAGGUGCACCGUUUCUUUUCCCUCUCUAAUCCCCUAAUACUCCGUGUAAAAGUCAGUCAAAAAAUUAAGGAGGUUAGGGAGACAUUAUCUAAAAUUUCCGAUGCAAAGAAUGAAUUUGGUCUUAAUGAGCGGAGUGUUGACAGUGAUGCGACGCAUAAGCGAUCACGAGAGAUGACUUACUCGUUCAUAAGUGAGUCGGCUAACGUUGGAAGAGAUAAUGACAAACAAAAGAUAAUCGAGAUAUUGAUGCAAACAGACGACGAAAAACCCUCGGUGAUUCCCAUUGUUGGAAUAGGAGGUUUGGGCAAGACAACCCUUGUCAAGUUAGUUUACAACGAUCACAGUGUGAAAGAGCAUUUUGACUUGCGAUUAUGGGUGUGUGUACCCGAAGACUUUGAUUUAAAGAGAACUAUUGAAGGAAUUGUCAAAGAAGCAACUCAUGAAAGCUUGAGUCACUUUGAUAUUUAGCAAUUGCAAACAUUUCUGCAAGACACCAUCAAAGACAAGAAGUAUCUACUUGUCUUGGAUGACGUUUGGAGCAAUGACCGCAAUAGAUGGAAAGAUUUAAGAGAUUUGCUAAGCGUAGGAGCCAACGAAAGCAAGAUAAUUGUGACAACCCGCAAUUCAGAAGUUGCCUCCAUAGUCCAUAGUGGGUAGCCAUCCAUCGUAUCGUUUAAAACGUCUUUCUCAUGAAGACUCUAUGGCCUUGUUUGAAAAAUGGGCAUUCGACAAAAAGGAAAAGCAAGCACGUCCUGAUCUCCUUGAGAUUUGAAAUGAAAUUGUCGAAAAAUCACAAGGAGUUCCUCUCUUGGUGAAAACUGUGGGGAGUCUACUUUACAGAAAGAAUGAAAAAUGGUAUUGAGCACAUAUAAGAGAUAAUGAAACAUGGAAGUUAAUGGAAACAAACAUUUUGCCAGUAUUUAAGCUCAGUUAUGAUCAUUUACCAUCCCACUUGAAGCAUUGUUUUGCCAUAAUUUCACUUUUUCCCAAAGGAUAUGAAAUUGUUAGCGAUAAUUUAAUUAGGCUAUGGAUGGCUUUAGGACUCAUUAGUUCAACAAGAGAAAAAAUGGCAUUGGAAGACAUUGGUGUUGAGUACGUCAAAGAUUUGUGGAAGAGAUCUUUACUUCACGUGGUUGAGGAGUCUGAAUCAAGGUCAAUUUUUACAGUGCACGAUCUGGUCCAUUCCGUUGCAACAAAUGUGGCACAAAGUGAUUGUUCUAUUGUUGGUUUAGAUAAUGCAAAGAUUUCAAAAAGAGUGCGGUACGUUUCGUUCUCUAGUUCUUUGGUAGAGGGAAUCUCAAAUUUCGAUAAAGUCCCACCUUUUCUAAGAAAGCCAACUUCACAGAAGCUGCAUGCAAUUAGACGCAAUAGAUUUCAAUUCGGAGUUCAUGAUGAAGUUAUUACUAGAAAGUUAGUUAGAAGAUGCAUCUCCAAUUGUAACCGCUUACGAUAUCUGGAUUUGUCAUGUGGUAGUUUUGAAGAGUUACCACGUUCCAUAUGCAACUUGAACCAAUUGAGAUCAUUAAGAAACUUCCAAAUACCAUUUGUGAGCUGCAAUGUUUGCUACAAUUAUCCCUUCAUGGUUGCACAGAGCUAGUCCAUUUACCAAGACAUAUGAAAAGGCUCGUCAACCUUAGAUUUCUAAGCAUAACAACAAAGCAGAAGACUCUACAAGAAAGUGGAAUACAAUUCCUAAAAAAAUUGCAUUUUUUGGGAAUUCAUAUGUGUGCAAAUCUCCAAGUUUUGUUUGAAGGUGCUAGCCAACUGACUUGCCUUCGAGAGUUAGAAAUUGGAAAUUAUGAGAGACCAAUAUAUAUACCUUUUGAGAAUUUAAUCGCCCUGGAGUCCUUGGCGAUCGAUCAUUGUGAGUUCACGUUGACCCACGAGAAUAAGCCGAACUUUCCGUUGAAUCUUCGUAAGCUAUAGUAAUAUCGAGGUCUCACCAAGUGAUGGAGCUGCUCCAAUGUCUCAACAAAUCUGCUCGUACUUUGGAGUGCUUUUCAGUCUAUGAUUGCGCGAGCUUGACGGCUAUACCAAAAUGGCUACCCAAUCAUAAAUAUCUCAGAUCGAUUCGCUUGAUCAAAUGUCGCAACUUAUCGUCCAUACCGCAAGGAAUUCAGUCCCUCACUGCCCUCAAAGAUUUACACAUUGAACUUUGUGGUGAACUGAACCAAAGAUGUCGGCCUACUGAUGGCGAGGAAUGGCACAAAAUCGCUCACGUUCCUCAAAUCCAACUUAAUUUGACACGUGUACAAUGGACUGGUGAUUAGGUACGCAUCUCUCUCUCUCACCCCUCAUUUCUUCUUUGUUCUUAGUUGUAGCAUGAUCAUAUAAUGAGACUCCCUUCUUGUAUUAUCUUUCCUGGAUUCUUCGCACGAUGAAGAUUAAGAUAAGACACUGCAUUAUGCAUUUUCAUAAAAUUGACAACCUCAAAUAUGUUGGGAAAAUUUUGACAAAUCCCACUUUCUCUGUGCCAUCUGCCAUACUGAAAGUAGAACUUUUUUUCCUGAUGCUGGAAUCUGAUUUUCUGCUUUUACUUGGAAAUUCGAAUCUAAUGUAAUUUUUUUUAGUGCUUUUUUUUUAUUUAUGAUAACUGUUUUUUUUUAAUGAUUACUGUUGAAGAGCGAUAAUUUAAUUGGAAAUUUUAUUCUUUGACAAAUGAAGUUGAAAAACAACAUGCUCAACCACGGUCGCAUCUUUUAUUGAUCUUUAUUUUCAAGAAUAAUCUCUCUAUAUAAAUAAUGACUUUUGUUACCAAAUGACGGACAAAAGAGUAAUUUAAAAUGUGAACAACAACAUUAUCAUCUUAUCCAGUGACUCUCUCUUAUAUAAAUUCUAAAUUUAGAUAACCUUCCAUAUCAAUUUAUUCAAAUCAGUGACUACCCUUAUGUAAGUUUCGAAUGUUUUAUAUUAACAGAAGGUUAACUUGUGUGCAUCAUAAGAUUAAAUUAGAUAUGUAAGCACUUGCUCAUAAUGUACGCAUUGUAUGUUUUUGGAUACAUGUCCCUUCAAAUAAAUCUUAUAGCCUCGAAUAGAUUGAUUUAGCUAACUGACGAAACAUAUCUUGGUAAGCAGAUUGAAAAUGACAAAUUCGCAGUAUAUCACAAUAAAUAUUAUAAUACUAUGUUAUAGAUACUCUUAAGCUCAUCUCCUUCUUUUUUUCUUUUUCUUUUUUCUGUUGAGCAGAUGAACUCCUAUGAUCGUGGUUGCCAAUCUCGGGGCUCCGCAAAACUAUCUUGGUAAGUAGACUAAAAAUUCACAAUUCCGCGGUAUACCACAAUAAAAUGCCAUAAUAUUAUCUUAUAGAUACUCUUAAGCUCAUCCUGUUCUUUUUUCUGUUGAGUAGAUGAACUCCUACGAUCGAUCUGGUUGCCACUCCUCGCGGGGCUCCACAAAGAUUUGUUCGCGAACUCAGCAAAUCUCUUCAUUAAUCUAUUUCAUUUGCCAGUAUGAAAACAAUGGUUGCCAAUAUUGUGCCUUUCUCUUUAUUUCCUUGGAUAAGUGUUGUCCUUUAUUAUUUGCUUGCGUUUGUAUUGCCACUUUCUCUAUAGAGAAAAAUGACAUUCAUAUCGUAUGAGACCAACUGAAGCACUAUUUGAGUUUGAAAUUUUUUAGAGCAACAGUCAUCAUUCAUUUAGGAACAAUGUACGAAAACACAACGAACCAUCGAAUCUUACUUUUGAUAAAUUAGUGUCGGUCACUCGAUCUUUUCACAACAUAACUUUGCAUUAUCACCCUUCUACAAGGAUGAGUUUGUAAAAUAUGAUUGUUCCAAUAUUCAGUUGCAUUAGUUGGCAAACAAAUUUAUGGAAUUCAUUGCUUAAAAUCCAUUAGCAAAUUUCACUAAAGGUUUUUCAGUGCUUAUGUUUAAUCAGUGCUUAAAAUUCAUUGCUUAAUUUUUAGCAUUAAAUAUUUUUAGUUUUAUCAAACAGGAUGUAAUUUUUAGCGCGGUUGUUCGGUAACUGAUCUUGAUUUGACAUUUUCCGUAAGAUUUUGGAUUGAAAUGUAACGAAUGUAACUAAAUCUUUCUCAGAAAAUGGUAGAGGGACUAGUUUUGUUGCCGAAGCAAACUACAUGGACCAAAAUUGACAAUUGUUCAAAGUACGAGCACCGAAAGUGUAAUUGAUUUUGGAGGAUUGUACAUUCAAGCGCUUCAGGCCGAAGUCGAAGCUGACCCAAUAGUUGGAGAAUUUUAGGCAGAAAUUUGAUGGGAAUGAUUAAUUCUGGUCGAGAAUGGUAAAGCCAUAAGGAAUAGAAUUGUGACAAAUCUAAUUAUAUAGGGACCGAAAGUGAACUUCUCAAAACAUACGGAGCCCUGAUCUGAAGUGUUAUUUAACCCAUUUAUUGUUGCAGUUUCAUGUUUUUGGAGAAUUGCUGAGCAUAGUAUUAGCAUCCCAACGCUUGAAAUACUGAAACUCCAUACAUAGUAUUAGCAUCAACACAAGGUUCUACUUCGGCCUGUAGUACAGGUCCUGAUAUGGCUCCCGCUAGAAGAAGCCUAUAUUUAUUAUUGCCGAUCAGAGAUCGACGGCGUCCCAACACAACUCGCAUCCCCAUUUUUAGCUACAGCUAGGAGCAGGUCAUCCGCUGCGCAGUUUCUUGCUGAGCAUGUAUCUGAAGGGAGGGUGAGUAUACCUCCCAUUCAGAAACAUGUCGGCGAUCACCUGGUACGUGGCUUCCGUGAGAUGGACUCCGUCCCAGUUGAUGUACUCCGAGGGACGAGGGCACA
rnacentral:lncRNA from 1 species